rnacentral:lncRNA from 1 species
CGCUUUAUUUCAAUCUGUAAAUAACACAAGGUACACUCGAUAUUUGAAGGAAUCUAGUCUACAAAGCACUUCCAAAAUUUCAAGUAAAUCUUGAUUCUCUCCUUUUUUUCCCUUCUGGUCACCAGGAAAUACAAAGCUGUAAAACAGAGCUAAUCAAAAGAACUAAAAUCUACUGAGCUGUCAACAAAACAACAUCUUGGUUUCUUCAUUUUGACAGGAAAGAACAUAAGAAAAAGCCUUCAAACUUAACCAUAGCUUCCUGAAGCUCAUCAGCCGUGCCACCAACAGCUCUCAUUUGUGUUGUAAUGGAAAAGAAAGUACAAUUGAUCAAAAACAUUUCUUCUAGCUUGGCUAGAGAAUCAAAGAUAUGGUAGUCCUUGGUCACUUCUUUACAUUAUACAAAAUAGUUUUCUUCAAAUCAAUAGUCAUCAAAAAGAGCAAGCAAAAAGUGAAGGAGUGGCAAAGUGUCCUGCAUUUCCUGUCACAUUGUUUUGAGUUAGUGUAUCUUUAAGUUGAAUGGCCACUUCUUGUCAUAAUGUGAAGUGUGUUGGAACUUGAACUUGUGGGGAAUGACAAAUGUAGAGAAAUACAACAAUAAUGGUGGAACUUUAUUAUGUAAAGUAAUGUGUUUACAACUAACUCUGUAUGUAGGAAGAAACUACAGAAAUUUUGUAUGCUUCAAGGCACGUUACAAAAGUCGCUUUCGCUAAGACGUUAUUUGCCCCCACCAAUUGAGUGAUGCACAUGGGUUAAGCAAAUACGCCUCCAAGAUACAAUGAAGCACUUGUUUGUUUGCUUGCGUUGUGCAUCGACGAAAGCAAACCAGAAUACUCUUGAAUGUUGCAAGCCUGCCAAGAAACAAUAUAUUGUUCCUGCAGAAAACAAUAUAUUGGAAUGUGAAUGCACAAAAGAAAUGGGUGUUUUGUGUUGAAAUUCGUACUAGAAAGGAAUGCUAAGAAAAGAGUGGUGUAGGAUCAUUUAUUUCAUGUCUAAAUGGCUUAAACAUGACCCCUAUUUAUAGAUAUACUUGUGCCCCCUCAUUUGGGUUAUCAUCUUUCAUGAUAUUCCUUCAUUCAUAGCCAUUGGAUCUACAUUUGAUUUUAAUCAAUGGUCCAAAUUGAACCAUCACCAUUUCAAAUGAAAUGUCACCAUGAAAUAAUGCAUCUCUAAGUGAAAUGUUGUCAUGAAAAGUUAUAUCAUUUAGUGGAGAGAUACCUUUUCUACAAGACACAAUUAAAUGGACAUGUCCUUACAACAAGACAUCAUUUAAUUAGACAUGUCUUUAGUGAAAGGUACCUUUUCUAUAAGGCACAAUUAAUAGGACAUGUCUUUACCAUAAGACACAUUUAUUGUUGAAAAUGUUCCAACAAUCCCCCACCAUUUUCAAAAUAAAUGAAUUUUGAAAAGUUAUCUUGCACAGGCUUGGAAAACUUAUGCAUAGAUGAAGGUGUCUUUUGGACUUGAACCUUCACUUAGUGACAAUACAUCAAAGUUAAUCAAGGUGGCAUGGUAGGCAAGCUUUGAACCAACGACCUUAAUCGAUUAACCGGAUAUAUCUCACACAUAAGUUUUCAAAUUCUCAAGUAUUCCUUAGCCGACACGUGGAUUGGCCCUGUGUCUAUAUCCUGUUUUCAUGAGUGCUUUAGUAACCAGCCAAGUUACAUAGGAAGCGGCACCACCUCCUACACUCACAUAGGUAGACUUAUCUAGAAUGUCCCUGUAACUAAAACAUUUAUAAGUCCAUUAAAAGCUAAGUAGCUUAACCUUUCCCAUAUGUUACAGGUAUCAAGCACUAACCUUUGGGACGCAUAAAAAAUAUUAUAGUGCUUGCUAUCACAACAUAUGAUGUACUUUUGCUCAUUGAACCCAAGAUCUUGUUAUUUCAAGUGUUGGGUUGAGUUUCCAUCAUUGGUGAUAAGAUGAUGCUGGCUUCAGUCCCAUCCCCUUAGAAGUUUUAAAUACAAUAUCCCUUGCAAGGCCUUUAGUUAAGGGGUCUGCCAAAUUUUGGCAUGAUUUCACAAAGUCAAUUGUGAUGACUCCAUCUGUAAGUAAUUGUCUUACAUAACUAUGUCUUAGACCAAUGUGCCUAGACUUUCCAUUAUAGAUUUGACUAUAUGCUCUUGAUAAAGUUGCCUCACUAUCACAGUGAAUAGAUAUAGGUGGCAUUGGUUUAGGCCAAAUAGGAAUUUCUAUAAGCAAAUUCCUUAACCAUUCAGCUUCCUUGCAACAUGAAGCCAAAGCUACAAAUUCUGCAGCCAUGGUGGAGUCUGCUAUACAAGUUUGCUUUUUUGAGCCCCAUGAAAUAGCUCCUCCACCAAGAUUAAAAAUCCAACCACUUGUGGAUGUAUGAUCAUCUCGAUCAGUAAUCCAACUAGCAUCCGAAAAUCCUUCCAAAACUGAAGGAUAUCUAGUGUAGUAUAUACCAUAAUCCAUUGUAUGUUUUAAAUAUUUAAGAAUUCUGUACACUGCUUGCCAGUGUGCUUGGCUUGGAUUACUAGUAUAUCUACUGAGCUUUCCAACAGCGAAAGCAAUAUCAGGCCUAGUACAAGUCAUCGCAUACAUAAGACAUCCAAUAAUACGUGCAUAUUCUAAUUGAGAUACUGAUCUGCCAGUGUUAGGAUACAGUCUUAUGUUUGAAUCAAAAGGUGUUGACACAGACUUACAAUCAUAAUAAUUAAAUUUCUUUAAAAUUUUCUCAAUAUAAUGUGAUUGGGUCAAUACUAGGCCAUUAUCAUUUUUUAUAAUUUUAAUCCCCAAAAUCACAUCAGCAAGUCCCAUGUCUUUCAUAUCAAAAUUAGAUGACAAUAAUAAUUUAGUGAGUUCAAUGCUCUCACUAUCAGUACCAAAAAUUAACAUGUCAUCUACAUAUAAACAAAUAAUCACACCUUUAUUUUCAUUGAAUCUGCUAUAGACACAUUUAUCAGAUUCAUGAAUAUUAAAUCCAUUUGAGACAAUCACUUUGUCAAACUUUUUGUGCCACUGCUUUGGAGCUUGUUUAAGACCAUAUAAAGACUUGACUAGUUUACAAACUUUAUGUUCUUGUCCUGGCAUAACAAACCAUUCUGGUUGUUUCAUGUAAAUUUCCUCAUCUAAUUCUCCAUUUAAGAAAGCUGUUUUUACAUCCAUUUGAUGGNNNNNNNNNNNNNNNNNNNNNNNNNNNNNNNNNNNNNNNNNNNNNNNNNNNNNNNNNNNNNNNNNNNNNNNNNNNNNNNNNNNNNNNNNNNNNNNNNNNNNNNNNNNNNNNNNNNNNNNNNNNNNNNNNNNNNNNNNNNNNNUUGUUCCAUCAACUUUCUUCUUCUUUUGAAAAUCCAUUUCCAACCUAUAAAGAUUAGAGCCAGGUGGUAAAUCAAACUAAUUUCCAAGUCUUAUUACCCACAAUAGAGUCCAUUUCAUCAUUAAUGGCCUCUUUCCAAAAAGCAGCAUCUUGAGACUUCAUUGCCUCUUCAUAGGUGAGGGGAUCAGACUCUAUAGUAGGUGUGAUCAUGGUCUGUUUUGAUUGUGAGUCUCUUGUCCCUUCAACUAAAUAGACUAUAAAAUCUGGUCCAAAAGAUUUUAUAGUCCUUAUUCUUUUACUUCUUCUCAAAUGAUUUUGUUCAUUAUUAGCAUCACGUUUUUGACCAAUUUCUAUUUGUUUAUCAUUCUUUUGAGAAUCAAUACUUUUUGGUAUAGUGGAAAAUCUAUUUUCAUAGAAUAUUGCAUCUCUAGAUUCCACUAUAGUAUUGAUCUCAACAAAGCUAUUAGGUUCUGUUACAAGAAACCUAUAAGCUUUACUAUGCUCUGCAUAUCCUAAGAAUAUGCAUUCAAUGCCCCUUUCUCCUAAUUUCUUUAUCUUAGGUUCUGGUAGUCUUACAAUGGCUCGACAACCCCAAACUCUUAGAUAAGAAAGAUUAGGCUUUCUCUUUUUCCAUAAUUCAUAUGGGGCCACCUUUGUUUUCUUAUUAGGCACUCUAUUUAAGAUAUGACAUGCAGUUAAAAUAGCUUCACCCCAAAAACCUUUACCAAGCCCAGCAUUAAAAAGCAUAGCAUUAAUCAUUUCUAUUAAUGUCCUAUUUUUCCUUUCAGCUACGCCAUUUUGUUGUGGAGUAUAUGCAGUGCUAGUUUCAUGUACAAUGCCAACAGAUUCACAAAAUUCAGAAAAAGCAUAUUCACCUCCUUUAUCACUUCUAAGGCAUUUAAUUUUAGUGUCACAAAAGUUCUUAACUUCAUUUUUAUAAGUUUUAAAUUUUUCUAACACUUGAUCUUUAGAAUGUAAUAAAAACACAUAGCAAUAUUUUGAAAAAUCAUCAAUAAAUGUUACAAAAUAUUUUUUACCACCUUUAAAAGGAUUACUAUGCAUAUCACACACAUCGCUAUGAAUUAAAUGCAAUAAAGAAGAUGUUUUUUCAAUUUUUGGAAAAGGAGAUCUUGUGAUUUUAGUCUGAGCACAUACUUUACAUUUUUCAUGCAUAUCAUUUUCAUGCUUAGGAAUUAACUCUAAAUUAGCCAUAUCAUGCAAUCUUCUAAUAUUCACAUGUCCUAAACGAUUAUGCCACAAAGAUAAUGAAUCAACCAUAUAAGCAGAAGAAACAUUCAUAUUAUUGAUAUUGAGUUUAAACAUUCCUUCAUACAUGUAUCCUUUCCCAACAAAGGUACCACCCUUAGAUAAUAUAAAUUUGUUUGACUCAAAAACAAGUUUGAAGCCUAACUUAUUAAGAAGGCUACCAGAUACAAGGUUUUUUCUAACUUCAGGAACAUGAUAAACAUCAGUAAGAGUUAAAGUUUUUCCAGAAGUAAACUCUAGUUGCACAUUGCCUUUUCCUUUAACUAUUGCAGUGGAGGAAUUUCCCAUGUAAAGAACACUUCCAUCAUCCAUUGCUUUAUAAGAUUUGAAAAGGCUACGAUCCUUGCAUACAUGCUUGGUUGCACCAGAAUCUAUCCACCAUGCAUUAUCAUCUUCAAGAACAUUAAUUUCAGAUAUCAUGGCCACAAGAUUUGUGUUCGAAACUUCCUUUUGUUUCUUCAGAAGUCGACAAUCUUUUUUGAAAUGGCCAGGUUUUCCGCAGUGGUGGCAUGUACCCUUCUUUUUCUUCUUAUUGUUUUGAUUCUCUUUGGAAUCAAACUUUCUCUUUUGGUUAUUCUUAGGGUGAUUAGAAUGCUUAAACUCCUUUCCUUCCUCUACGACAUUAAUUUUAGAGGACAUAGUAGUCUGAUCCUCAAGACUAUUAAGCUUGAGUUCCUCUUCAAUACGAAGACUUUGGCCUAAGCCAUCCAGACUAAUUUCCUCUUUGCUAUGUUUAAGACUUUUCUUAUAGUCUUUCCAAGAGGGAGGAAGUUUAUCAAUAAUUGAAGAGACAAUAAUAGACUCAUCCAUUUUCAUGUUAUGUUGGUUGAAUUGAUCAAGAAUAUGAAAAAUCUCAUUAUAUUGUUCAACCACUAGUCUAUUAUCAACCAUUCUAUAAUUAAAAAAUUUAGAAGCCAAGAAUUUCUUACUUGUGGCAUCUUCCAUCAUGUACUUAGCCUCUAAUGAGUCCCAUAUCUCUUUUGAUGUAGGUUUGUUGUGAUAUUGAUCAAACAAAGUAUCAGACAUGGCAUUGCAAAUGUGUCCCUUACACACGUAGUCAUCUUGCUCCCACUUAUGUCGCACUCUGGUUUCCGCUAAUGUCUCAUUCUCACGUUCUUGAGGCUUUGGUGUUGUGAGAACAUAGACCACAUUGAGGCUUGUCAACAAGAAAUGCAACUUUUUCUCCAACAAAUAAAGUUGCCACCAUCGAACCGCUCCAAUUUGACAAAAUCUACUGCGAAUUGUCGAAGAGACGAACUUGGUGCCAUUGUUGUAGAAAUAACGUCUUAAGAUUGUUGGAACUUGAACUUGUGGGGAAUGACAAAUGUAGAGAAAUACAACAAUAAUGGUGGAACUUUAUUAUGUAAAGUAAUGUGUUUACAACUAACUCUGUAUGUAGGAAGAAACUACAGAAAUUUUGUAUGCUUCAAGGCACGUUACAAAAGUCGCUUUCGCUAAGACGUUAUUUGCCCCCACCAAUUGAGUGAUGCACAUGGGUUAAGCAAAUACGCCUCCAAGAUACAAUGAAGCACUUGUUUGUUUGCUUGCGUUGUGCAUCGACGAAAGCAAACCAGAAUACUCUUGAAUGUUGCAAGCCUGCCAAGAAACAAUAUAUUGUUCCUGCAGAAAACAAUAUAUUGGAAUGUGAAUGCACAAAAGAAAUGGGUGUUUUGUGUUGAAAUUCGUACUAGAAAGGAAUGCUAAGAAAAGAGUGGUGUAGGAUCAUUUAUUUCAUGUCUAAAUGGCUUAAACAUGACCCCUAUUUAUAGAUAUACUUGUGCCCCCUCAUUUGGGUUAUCAUCUUUCAUGAUAUUCCUUCAUUCAUAGCCAUUGGAUCUACAUUUGAUUUUAAUCAAUGGUCCAAAUUGAACCAUCACCAUUUCAAAUGAAAUGUCACCAUGAAAUAAUGCAUCUCUAAGUGAAAUGUUGUCAUGAAAAGUUAUAUCAUUUAGUGGAGAGAUACCUUUUCUACAAGACACAAUUAAAUGGACAUGUCCUUACAACAAGACAUCAUUUAAUUAGACAUGUCUUUAGUGAAAGGUACCUUUUCUAUAAGGCAUAAUUAAUAGGACAUGUCUUUACCAUAAGACACAUUUAUUGUUGAAAAUGUUCCAACAAAGUGAACCCUGUAAGUGCCAACAUUCAUCCACAUUUGUAGACAAAGUUAUGAUACCUGCUUGUUUGGAAAGGAAUUCAUUAAUCAUGUUGCAUUAUGAAAGGAAACAGAUUGAUAUUCCACAUUCACAGCUGCCGUUGGAAGCAUUUCUUUGUUCACAGUUAAUAAUGGAAACUACAGAGUUUCUUAAAUUUGUGUACAACAGAUUCUAUUUUAUUUUAUUUUUUCUGACGGUUAAUAAAUACCAAGAAGAAAUAUUAGUUGCAAACGACUAGCAGUGCCUUCAAUUAUUUUUCUUUCUAUCAUUUUAUAUUUCAUGAAUCAAACAGAGGAUUGAAACACAAUAAGGGUAUAAAUAAGUAAGCAUUCACACACAAAACUUAAACAUAUUGAGAGACAAAACUCCAAUGAACGCACAUUCAGAGUCCACGCCACCUUAAUUUUGGUCUAAACAAAACAUCACCAUAUAAUGUCAAAUGCCCAUCGUGCUCAAUAAUAAAAAGAAAGUAUAACAUUAUAAAGCAAGAAUAAAAUAGCCAAAUACAGCAAUUAUAAGGCAAUUCGCAGGCCUGAUUGGAUACCUGUAGUAUGGUCGCUUUGUCAAAUUUUGUAUUGAUGCAACUUAAAUGAUCAGAGGCACUCCUUAAAGCAGUGGUGGUAAAAGUGCAGAACUGCAUUCACCAGACAACAUCAAAACUUCUUUUUCAUUAAAUAAUUUCUACAUAUUAAACAAAGAGUAAAUAUUCUUGCCUCUCUUGCUUUAGAACUAAAUUUGUGUGACACAAAGCUGAACUUCCUUUUCUCCUUCACUGGCCCAAUGCCCAUUUCCUCCAAUGUUGUAAUGGACAGAAAAUGAACACAAGAAAUACGAAUCUAUAUAACAUGUUUGCAGCAAGUGUCAAAAAUCAGAAAAGAGAUAUUAGACGAAAAUAAACAUUAGAUUAAAGUAAACACAUUGAAAUGAUAAAUAAGACAAAAAUAGAUUAGAGCAUUGAACUUACAAAAGAAAAGCCAAUAUGCCACCUCUCUUAUUAAAAACAUGAGAAAACAAAUAACUUUUUCGUUGAGGAGCAUUGAAUUGCUCUCUGCAAAUUGAUUCUGCUUCAUCCUUGUCAGAAAUGACACUCUCAAUAGUUCCAGACAUGUCAGCCUUAUCAAGAAAGUCAUUAUGCAAUUUCCCAUGAUGAGUGCAUUCUUCUUCAUUGCCAGGGGCAAAUUUGAGAGUUAAGGUGUUUGGUUCGUCCUGGUUGGGAUUUGCAUAUACUGGAGUCACCCCACAACAUUUCACCUUGAAACUGCUGUCAUCAAUGAAGAAGUCAAAUGAAACAUCCGAAUGGUGGUCAGCAUCUGGUAGCUCCAUAUUCCAACAUUGAUCAAAUCCCACUAUGACAUGAGUCGAAUCAAUGGAUAUGACGUCAACCAAUAUGAAAGUGUGAUAAAAACCGUAUUCAUAUCCGACCCUUACUUCGUAGAUUUCACUGCAAUGAUCUCCCUCUAACUCAAUAACAGCACAAAGAGCAAAUCCGAUGAAGUUUUUGUUACAACAAUGCUGUGGCAUUUGAAUACUUACUGAAGAUCCUAAAGAUUGAUUCCGGAACCCGUCCGGAAUUUCACUUCCAGGUAAACAAAUGCUGAGUGCACAUGGUUCAUAUUCCUGUAACACAAUGAAAAUUAUGAUUUCAAAUGUAAUUAAGAAGAGAGAAAGGGGAAAGAGAAAGAGAAUUGGGUACCUUUUCAUAGAAUUGGCUCAGCAAUGCAAUAUGAACUCUUUGUUGAAAAUAUGCCCAAACACUUCUUUCAUUGAGUUUCAGGCAAUUAUCAAAUUUUAACAUCCCUGGUACUGUCAAGCUCACACUUCCGUGGGCCUGGUCGGAUAGUUUUUCCACUAAGGAUGCAUGAAGUUCUUCUGUACAUGAUGGACUCUCUGGGAAAGACUGCAGCCGCUUGCAAUUACUUGCUUCUAAAUGCCGUAGCCCAAGUGGAAGCUCUGGUAAUGAUUGAAGCAUGUUGCAAUUUCUCAAGCAAAGCCGCCUCAGACAAGACAGUUGGCUGAUACUUGAAGGUAAACUCUCAAAGUUAUUUUCUGCCAAAUUUAAGGACUCCAAUGAUGAUAGACAGCAAAUAUCUUGAGAGAUUUCUAUUAUCCCACAUCCACUUAAAGUUAGCGUUCUUAAAGAAGAUAAAGUGGAUAGUGGAGGCAAUGCAAAACCUCUGCAUCCAGACAAGCAAAGUUCUCUAAGUUUGUUUAAAUCUGCUAUAGAGGAUGGUAGCUGAAGAAUGGCCGAUCUAUUUGCAUCAAGUACCACCAAAGAUUUUAAAUUUCCCAAGCUAUCCGGCAAACUACCAAGUUUAGAGCAACACAUCAACCGCAGCUCCUUAAGGCCUUCAAGAUUUUCAAUUGAAGAUGGCAGCUCCUUAAUUCCUGACCUAUCUAAAGCAAGUUUUUUGAGUUCCAUUGUCUCCAAAAUUUCAGGGAAACUCUCAAGGUCAGAGCAGUCCAAAAGAUAAAGGCAGUUAAGAUAUUUCAAUUUACAAAUGGCAGUUGAAACUCUCUUCAGCCUUUUGCAAAACCCCAAAUUUAAGGUUUUAAGAUUAGGUAGGGACUCGAUUGAUGAUGGAACUUCUUCUAUUGGGGUAUUAAAUAGUUUUAGCUCUACCACAUUUCCGGAAAUAUGUGGAAACUCUGUGAGAUUAACACAACCAGAGAAAUCAAUCUUUACGGGAGAUCUAAAAUGAAUGUUUCGUGGAAAGCAACUAAGACUUACGCAGUCCCUCAAAGACAACAUACUAAGGUUGUUGAAAUUCUGGAUGUGGGAGGGAAUGUAAAGCAAGUUUUUGCAAUUCGAAAGAUUAAUUCUCUCUAGAUUUGGGGCUUCUGACUGUUUUGGUAUCCUAGUGAGAUUGUGGGAUUGAUGGAGGUCAAUAGAUUUUAACUUAAAAGCUUCCUGUAGCAAAAGACAGAUUUUUAUUAUAUUGAAUUAGCAUUUAGCACUAAUGAAUUUCACAAUCAAACAUACAUAUUUAAAGAAAUAUUAAUAUUUUUGUAUUGGUUACCUUUUCUCCUUCCCAAAGUUGCUCAACUUUACUGUAAGGCAAGUGCAGUUCAAUAAGGUUCUCCAAAUCAAAAUUUGAUGGCAAUGACUUCAAAGGAUAUUCAUGCCAAUGGAGAUAUCUCAGUCCAUCUGGAAGACAUUCCAAACCAUCUUCAAGAUGGACUUUAGAGUUCAUAAUUGGAACGCCACCAUACUCGGGCAUAUAGAAUUUAAGCAAUCUAAGAUUCGGCAUUUUUGCAAAAACCAGAGAAUUUAGAUGUAUCUUUCUUAUUUUGGACAAAUUGAGGAACAUGCCUUCGAUUGCAUCAGUCCCCUUGUAAACAAAAGCAAAAAAAUAAAAUUAGCAUAUAUUUAUAAAUAGUAAUGAUAUACUUGUAAAGUUUAAAUAUAAUAUUUGUAUCCUAAAUGAUGUAGCACUUCAUCUGUCCUGUAAUUGAACAUGAAAUCUACUUUUGUUCAUAUGAUUUCUUUUAAUUCAAAAUCUGUAUGGGGAAAAAAAAACACAUACUCUUCACUAAAUUCAAAAAAUAAAACUUUAGUCCCUUCUCAUUUAUAGUCUUCUUCAUGUUUUCCCUCUUAAACUUUUACCUAAAGUUGAUAAAAUUGCAAAAGUGUUUAAUUUCCCAAAAUACCAGAUAUGAGUAUUUUAGUUGUAUUCCAACUUCACUAUUCUGGCCAAUCAUAAAACUAAUUUUUCUACCAGUACCAAGAAAUUUGAAGUUCACUUAAGCUAUUCGAUGAAUGUUUAAAAUGUAAACAUUAUUUGGUUUUUACAUUUCAAGUAUUUUUGUCCAAACAAAUAAAUUAGUGUUUUUACAUUAAUAAUCGAUUUACUGAAAACCUGAGUUUGGCUAGGAAAAUUAGUGUGUUUUCAUUAGAUAGGUAGAUUCUUACCUUAUUUUUCUCUAGUACAUGAAGGAUUUCCUCAUGAUUCCGCAGCCUGCUACGUUUGCCUGGCUCUUUGAUGCAUUCUUGACGAACAAUUUCCCGUCCCAUUUCCUGCAACAAAUCAUGCAUCUCUAUCUUGUUGAAUUUUGAUAUUGUUACUAAUGACCUUUCAAUGAGGACACUCAAUCCAUAAUGCGCAAUAUUAGGAUCUUCUAGUAUACUUGUCACAAAAUCUUUCUGCUCCCCUACAAAGAAACACGCAAUGUCAAGAAAUAUACUCUUCUCUUCUGGCCUUAAGUCAUUAUAACUGAUUUUCAACACAUCAUAGAUGUCAGGAUCAGAAAUUCGAUUAAUUUUCUCCAAAGCUUUUUCCCAAUCCGGUUUGCUCUUCUGAUGAAAGAACGAACCCAACACUGUAAGUGCUAAUGGGUUGCCAUUUGCAUACUUCAGUACACACUUUGAGAGCGCCAACAGAUCAUCAGGGCAAUGGUUUUCUUUGAAGGCGUAAUUACAAAAUAGCUCACGAGCUUCAUCAUAAUAUAAUCCAUUAACCUCAUAUAUGUUAGAGCUAUGCACUCCAAAAUUAUCAAGGAUCCAUUUAUCUCUAGUGGUUAUAAUAAUUCUACUUCCCGGACCAAAUCGAUCAAUCCCACCAGCUAAAUUUUUUAAUUGCCCAACUUUAUUCACAUCAUCCAGAACAAUCAACACCUUCAUCCGCCGGAGCCUUUCUCCAAUAUAUUCAGGAAGAUAAGGAGUUCCAAUUUUAAUGUUUUCUUCGAAUAUUUCAGAAAGAACUCGAUCUCGUAGAUACAACAAUCCAUGUCCAUUCUCUGAUUCUACCCUCACGUUUGAUACGAAGCACCUGCCUUCAAAUUCCCAAGAAAUUAGGUUGAAAAUAGCUCCGGCAAGGGUUGUUUUCCCUAUACCACCCAUGCCCCAAAUUCCAACAAUUCGGAAAUCUGGCAAUCCGAUGCAUAACAACGACAUGAGUUUCUCAAUUCUUGAACUUAGUCCGACCAAGCCUUUAAAAUCACUAGAGACUGAUUUUUCUUUUAAUCUCUUCAAAAUAUCAUUGAUAACUCCCUCUACAAGUUUCGCUUCAGGCCUAGCAGUUGUGAAAGCAAAAGCAAAUUAAUAAUAGUGAGUCGAAAUGAUAUAGUCUAAUCAUAGAUACAUGAAUGAGUAAGAGCUACCUGAUAUUCCUGGAAUCCCAUCCGGAUAGGUUUGAUGCCUGGGUCAAUGCAACCCUCCAUUUCUGAACCUUUUCGGGCGUCCUCUUGAACUGUUUUUCGUGCUUAACAAAGGCAUCCCUGAAACUUCCUUUCUGCUUCCGUAUAUCCGAUGGAUCUACACGGUGGAAAACUGGUACAACAAUUUGGCCAUUCUUGCUCUUGCAUUCAAGAAUCUCAACAAGUUCAUUCAGGCACCAUUUUGAAGAAGCGUAGUCCUGUGAGAAAAUGACCACGGAAAUCUUGGAACCUUGGAUUGCGUUCAAAAGGGCAGGUGAAAUCUCAUCUCCUCGCCUAAGCUCUUCAUCGUCAAUGAAGGUUUUGAUUUUCUUUCGACACAAAGCAGCGUAGAGAUGGCUUGUGAAGUUAUCACGAGUAUCCUCCCCUCUGAAACUGAGGAAUACAUCGUAUUUGCAAGAAGAAGAAGAGGAAUAAGCAGUAGAAGAAGAUGAGGCCAUGAACAAAAUUUGGUGACUGAAACAGGGAGGAUCUUGAUAGUUGUGAAUGCAAUUUAGAUGGAAGAAUAGAGUAAAAGUAAAUAUUUUCAAGUGCUUGCAGUUUUUCUCUUCCUUUGCUGCCUCCCUUAAUUAUUUCCUGUCUCCUGGAAACUUCUUGGAUAUUUCCUCUUUCAUAUUUUUCCACACAUUUUUUCUAUCUCAUUGGUUAAAUCUUACAUUUUUCUCUCUUCACUUACAGUUUUCAUUGAGGAGGACCCACUUCACGUUUACCUUCGGCUACUAAUUCAUUGUAUUUAUAAAAAUGUAAUGACAAUUUUUUUUUUCAAAACAAAAUAAAGGAUUAAUUUUAAUGAAGGAGGGAGGUAAAAACUUUAUAUUCCAAUUCUAUAAAUAUACAUUACUCCUUUUAGAAACAUACUAUGGAGAACGUACUACAUAAAUGCAAAAUCUUGUUUCAUUGUGAAAAGAUCCUACCAAUUGAAUCAACUGUUUAGGCAUUACAACAUUUUUCAAAAAAUAUAUACGGUAAUUUUUAAUUAGUCAAUUCAUUCAGUAAUUAUCUAAUUCAGUUAAAUUUUUGUGGUGAAACAACAAAUUAAGUAACAUCUAACAAAGAAACAAAUUGUCCACAAUAAGGUAAGUGGAGGUCAAGUCAAGCACGUAUGCAUGAAUAGAGGCUUGACAAAGACAACACAAUGAUAUUUAGAGAAAUGGUCCGCGUAUAUUUUGAGGAUGCCAAGAAAAGAUAACUUUGCCAGUGGAAAAGCAAGUGAAGCAAUAGUACAUGGCGGCCCCGCAAAGACUCGAAUAAGAUUCGAUCCGCAAGCCAAUCACUUCAGUCCUUGAUAUUUCUUUUAUUUAUGAGAUAAUUGUUUUAUUGUUGAAAAAUAUCGAUCUAUGAAUUAAUUGUGUCCAGAGGGGCUUGUAGGGGUAACUGUUCACGAUCCGAUGAAAGCACUAUCCAAUCAAUCUAUAUUAAACCGUUAAUUUUAAUUCAAUUAACCUUAUGAUAGGAUCCGAUUAGAUAUAAAAUUUAAUUAUAUUGAAUUGGUUAACAGAUUUUUCUGUUGAAAUCCAAUAUAAUCAAUCGAACUUUAGUUAGAUUUUGGAAUUAUGAGCUCAUGCAUCACUGUCUGUACGUAUGAACUACAUAAGCAAGCUAUAUAUACCUUGAAUUUGGAAUAAUUAGUAGCUGCUUAGUUUAUUGAGAAAUUAGAAUUAAAUUAAAAUUCAUAUUUGUGAAAUAACUGAUUUUUAACAAAGAAAAGAUUGUCCACAUUAAGCCCAAGUCAAGUCCAAGUUGAGUAUCAGAUUUAUUUUGUGUCCGGUGCAACAAUUCCAAAUAAAUCAGCUUAUAGGAGCAACAUAGAGGAGACCAAGGAACUUUAAAGACAGGUUAAUGACUUAAUAGAAAAAUGGUACCUGAGAGAAAGCAUGAAUUUAUGCGCAUUUCUGAUUUUAUUAGUGCCUAAGAAGGAUGGGACGUGGAGGAUGUGUAUUCACUGUGGAGCCAUCAACAACAUAACGGUCAAGUAUCGACAUUCCAUUCAUAAAGCUAGCACAAGACAACGCAACAGUGUCAUUGAUUCAGAAGAAAUUAAGUCAGUAGUUAAUAUACAUGGGUCCUCGAAAGCAAAAGAAAAAGCACUUGGUGGCCCAGCAAAGACUACUGACAUACCGUUACACGGAAAAUUUAUCACUUUGUGCAUGUUUGGGAAGUAAGAUUAAGUAUGUGAUUAGAUUAAAUUUAGGAUUAAAUAUUUUAUUUCAUGUUUGGUUACUUUACUUGAAUUGGAUUAGGGAGGACUAAAUUUAAAUUUAGUCCUUAAAUUAUGGGAUUAACAAUCCUAAUUUAUGAGUGGGUUUAGAUGGGAUUAGAAUAAGAGAAAAAAUUGUAUUAAUAUUUUUUUCAUAAAUAACACUAUUUUUUUAUUUGUAACCUAAAAUUUAAUUACUUAAUUAAUUAUUUUAUUCAUGGUUUACUUGAAUUUAUUUUUUAUUUGGUUUUUAUAGCCUAAUUAAAUUGGUACUUUUACUCCAAUAAAAUUUACUAUUUAAUAAUUUGUUGCAAUAAUUGAUUGUAUUGAAUUUAAUAAUCAACAAUGUAAUAUUCAAAAUAAUCAUGGAAAUUAACAAUACAAGUAAAUAAUUGAUUAUAUAUAUAUAUAUUAUUUGCUAACAUUUUGAUAAAAUAAAAUAUAUCUAAAAUAUCUGAUAAAAAUUAAUUAAAUAAUUAAAUAGUUUUGUUAAUUUAUAUUUGUUUAUUAUAAUUAUGAAUACCCAGUAACUAAUUUACUACAUAUUUAAUGCUCUUGUUAAUUACUUUUAAAUUAAUUUUCAUUAUUACUCUUAAAUAUUCAUAUUUUUUUAUUUGAAUAUUAUUUAACAUUGUCCAAUCCGAUAUUGUACUAAACAUAGUACAGUGUAUAAUAUAAUCUAGCUUAAUCUAAUCCAACUUAAUUCAGUCCAAUCUUAAUAAUUAAUCCAAUCUAACCUUGCGUGCUAAACGUAAUCUCAAUUGAUAAAAGCCAGUUCAUAAGGGAUUAAUUUUGUCAAGAUAAAUUAAUCUACUUCUUGUUGAUUAGUUAAUUAAGGUAUCAUCAUUAUCUGUCGUUAAUCUAAUAAAACAAUAAUGCGUCUUCCCUAAUAUAAUUUCUUCGACAAUAUGAUUGCAUGGGAAAUGAAUGCAGACAAAAAAAUAGAACUCCUCUUAACAGGCCAUCACAUUGAUCUCUUAAUGAUGAAAUAACUUAAUGGUCAUGUUAUUUAAAAUGACCACUAAAAUAGAUGUGUGGUGCAUGUCUAAUAUCUCAUAUCACUAACGAGUGAAUUACUGAACUAGACAACAUAUAUUCUGAUGGUCAGAAAGUCGUGCAAUACAGAUGGUGAUGGAGAGCGUCAGUCGACUUUGGAAAAUGAUUGCUAGAAUAUUAACUAGAUAUACGUUUGUGUGUUACAUAUAGCUACUCGUACGUCUCUCUCCUUUUCCCUAAUUUGUAUUGCACUGCUUCUUCUCUAGAUUCAAACUCCAAUGCACCUAAAACAGCGUAAUAGUUCUCUUAGUAAAUUCAUGACCAGUUCAAACAUAGUAGCAGUAUUGGGAAAAAAAAUGAAAAUCAAAUAUAAUAUACUCUUUUUGAAAUAAGCAACCAGCAAUUAAUCAGAUGAAACAAAAUUUGAGUGAAUUAUUCAUACCUUCACUUAGGAAGUUUGUUUUGCUGUUGGGAGAGAUCAAAGUCUCUGCAUAUACCUGCAUGGAGAAAUCUUUUAAAUUUUCUUGAAAUCCCUUAAUCACAAAAUCCUUAAUUGUUCCAUCACUUGGAUCAAAAAGUACAAAUUUCCCAUCUAAAACUGAUAAAAUAAAAUCACUGUCCUUGAUGGAACAUAAUGGCUGAAAAUACCAAAACAAAUUGGCUAAUGAAACUUUUGUCCAGGAUUCUGUCACAUCAUAUUCUUUCAUAAUCCAAAAAUCAUCCCUCCUCGACAUUGAGUAUGGGAUUAGAGAAAGACAGUUUCCUAUCACUCCAAUGGAAUGUUCUCUAAGAGCUUAUUUGUUAUGUCUGAUUGGAUUGGAUUGUUAUGUUAGAUUGGAUUGGAUAAUACUUGAUUACAUAUAAUAUUAUGUUGUGUUUGGUGCAUUAUUGAAUUGGACUAUAAAUAAUCAUGUUUUAUAUUAUAAUAUUAUAAUUUAUAAGUUAUUAUUAUUAUUAUUAUUAUUAUAAACUAAAAUUUUGUAUUAUUAAUUAUACAAAUCAACCUCAAUGACAUCAAUGAAACUAUACAUCAUAAUUUAAAUAAUUUUUAUUUUGUUAAAUAUAUAUAUGAUAUUUUUAUUAUUUUUAUUCAAUCAUCUAUUAUUUUAUAAAACAAUUAUCUUUUUGAAUACUAAUUUAAUAAUUAAUUUAUAAUGUAAAUUGCAAUCAUAAAAAUAUUUAAUAAUUAAAUAAAUUAAAAUAGCAAUUUAAAUUUAAUGUGAAAAUUAAAUAAUGAUUUUUUAGUAUGAUUUAUUUAUUUUACAUUUAUUAAAGUCAAUAUUUUUUAUUACAUUUUAUCACAUAUUACUAUAAUUUUAAUAUUUAUAAAUUAUUAUAUUUAAUUGAGUUACCAAUAUAAUCCAAUACUAACUAAUCUUAUGACCCCCCUGGGAUAAUUUCCUUUACAAAAUUAAGAUUAGCUUGUGGGCCCGAGAUAACUAAAUCUCAAUACCCUUAACAGCACCAAACAUGAGAUAAGGAUAAAAUUUAAAAAAAAAAGAGUCCAAUCCCCACUUUUAAUCCUCCAACCAAACACGCCCUAAAAUUAUUAUGAGGUAGUUCUACGAAUCUGAACUUGUCUUCCACAAAAUCAAAUACAGCGAUCAUCGUCAUGGGGUCAUCAAAACUGAGCUUAACCGUCGAGCUGGAUCGCCCAAUAGGUUUCUAUAAAGUAACCAAAAUUAGUUUCAAAAAAUUUCCAAGUAUUAUUCCUUAAAGAGAAGACAUGCAGACCUAUUUUAAAUGCUCUGUCUAUAUAAAAAUUAGAAACUACAGAAACCUUGAAGUCUUUAUAAGAAGAAGAAACUCCCAAAACCUUGAAGUCAUCUAUUGAUUGAGCAUAACCUAAGCCAACAACUAGUGCUUUGCUUUUAUUGAAUGGUUCAUAGUUUGGCAUUCUCUUGAACUCUCUAGUGGAACAAUUUGUAUAUAAACAAAACUGCCGUUUUAUUCUCAUGACUCUCAACUGUUAUGGAUAAGUCCAACAAACCAUUACAGGAACCGUAGAUCCAAACAGAAUCAUAAGAGGCUUUUCUAUUAUUGGAAAAGCAAUUGGAUCUACGGUAGUAAUUUUGCUUUCCAGGUCGAAGCAGAGAAGAGCAUUGUUAUCCGCACCAACAAGGACUUGUCCCUGUUGUGGUUUUGAGUUUGGUGCAACCUGACAAACCGAGGAUUGGUGAUUAAAGCCAGGAAUGACUUUGAUAAACACUUGAGUCGGCAUACAGAGUUCGUAUGCAGUUUUGCAAAUACGUCCACGAUGAUAUCUAAAGGAAGGGCGGCCAUUUCUUAUCCGCAAGCUAAGAAAGAGAAAAAUAAAAUAAAAUAAAAUAGAGAACACAGUUCUCAAUUAUUAUACAUGGGGGCGGAUCCGUGACCCUUUACACAAUUUUUUAGUCCUUGGAUCGACUAUCGUUCAACGGCCAAGAUUAAAUACAGAAAUUGAAAUUCUCCGAAUUAAAAUUUUCUCUCCAAAUGUUUCUCCGAUUUUCCUGUAUUUCCUCUCUUUUAAUAAAAUGUUUUUACCAAAACAUGACGACUUAUCAUGCUACAGUAAUUAAUCAAAAUAAAAAGAAAUACUUCCAGAUUAUUGCUUUUGACGGCACUGAGGGUAUGGUUGUGUCGGUGUUCUGUUUACUCGCCCAAUAAAUUCUACGGUUGAUGAUAUGGUGCCUCAGUGAUUCAAAUUAUAUAUAUCAAAUUCAUAUAUUAAUCAAUUAAUAUAGUGUAAUUGCAAAAUUAUAUCAAUCGAAAAUUAUUUGUUUUUGGAAAGAUGCGGCUAGAAAAAGCUCGUGCAGAAAUUGAAAAGAUGUUGUAGCUCCCUUGCUUUGUUCAAUAAAAAAUGCUUUUUUACAUCAGAAAAAAAAUAACAGGUAAAUUAUAGAUUAACGGCAUGUUUAAGGGAUUAUAAAAAAAAUACUUUUUUACGCGAAUUACAAUAAAUAACAAAUGAAUUAUAGAUUAACUGCAUGUUUAAGGGAUUACAAUCGACAAUAUUCCAAAUUUAUCAUAAAAGAGAGAGAAUAUAGGAAAAGAUGAGAAACAAUCGCAGAGCUUUUUUGGAGAGGCCUUUUAUAUUAAGAACAUGAGAAAGAUGAGAAAUUUAAAAUAUAUUAGAGGUACUAUAUCAACUAUAUAAUAAAUAAAUGAUACUAUGACCAGUGGCGGAUCUAGAAAAAUAAUUUACCGAGGGCCUAAAUUAAAUGACAACAAAAUAUAAAAACUGAAACUUGAAUAUAUAAAUUUUUUUAUAACAUAAUUACAAUUGUUCUCUGCGAGAUUUCAUAUUCUGAAAACGUUGUGCAAUAGAUUCAUUAUCAAUACUAUUAAAUACAUCUUUUCUACAUGAACAAUCAAAUUAUUAUUUAUCCAUUUAUCUCCCAUCCGAUUCCAAAGUUCAUUCUUCACAAAUUUCAUUGCUGAAAAUGUUCUCUCUACUGUAGUUGUAGAAACUGGAAAAACUUAGACUAUUUAAUAAUAUGACAGGGAUUAUUUAAAAAUUUAUUAAUUUUUCUUUUAAACAAAAAUGAGUUUUUUUUUUUCGGUGGGGGCUUGAGCCCCCACUAGUCCUACACUACAUCCGCCUCUGACUAUGACAUGUGUAUAUAUUUUGAAAAACCACUAUCUACAUUAUUGUUAUAUUAAAUUUAAUUGCACAUAUCAUUCAUGCAUUAGUUGUUUAUAUUAUAUUUUUGAAUUCCUCAAGAAAGAUAAAAUAGAGAUAUGUGGAGUGAAAAAGUCAUUAAUUAAAAUUCAUCAAAAGCAAUGUCAUCUUUAACAUUUAAUCUUAAUCAUUGAUAAUUGAUCCAAGGGCUAAACAAUUGUAUAAAAACUUAUGUACAUUUAAAGGACCACUGAUCAGCCCCAAUUCUCAAGUGUAGGCGCCUAUAUUUCUUUUAGUUCGGGCAUGCUCUUAAAUCGUGGGGUUUAACAGGCUUAUUUUUUAAUGGAUUAUAAAAUCAUGCAAUUUAAGAGAGUAAAAAAUUAAUUCUCUUAAACCCCAUAAAUUAAGAAUGUAUCCGCAUGAAAAAAAAUGAAGGUGCCCACACUAAAAAACAACUCUACACACACACACACACAUAUAUAUAGUAGUUAUCUAGUCCAAAAUUUUAAAGUGCGGGAAAGUUGGGGAAAGUUUUAAAACCAUGCAGUUUUAAAAGCUCACAAUUUUAAGCCUUUAAAACUGAGCAGUUUUAAAGUUUUCUCGGACUUUCCCGUACUUUAAAAUCUUGGAUUAAAACAUUUAUAUAUAUACACACACACACACACACACACACUUCUCAGUUCUCCCUACCAUCCUUCAUGUAACUAACACAUCGAACAAAAAUCCAACUCAAAUAAGACUCCAAACUUGUUGAAAAUAAACUAACUUUAUCCUUUCUUGAGAGAAAUUGGAAGUCGGACAGUUAUUAAUCCAGUCAAGUUCAACUUAGAUCAUGUUGGGGAUGUUACAGAGGGCCAAAUAAUCAAAUUUUUAAUAACAUAGCAUCAAAAAUAUGUUUGGUAAAGCACAUUUAAAAGUGAAUAUUGAUCAGAUAAUUAAAUUUGUAUUGAUUUAUGCAAAUGUACAUAAAAUGAAAAAAAUUUCUAUGAAUUUCAUAACUUGUUAUAUAAAACAUAUUAUUAAAUUCAUAACAUAAUACAUAAACUUAAGUAAAAUAAAAAGUAAUUCCAAUUUUACAUAAACUUAAUAGCUAGAAUAUCCUCCAACGAACUAAAAAUCAGACAAACUAAUAAUCCUUUCUUGAGAGAAAUUAGAAGCCGGACAAUUAUUAAUCCAGUUAACACAAGCAUAAACACAUGCACAUAGAAACACAACCCCCCAAACUUGAGAGGUGUUGUGUCCUCACAAGCACACAAAAUAAAACUAAGACAAACAUGCAUGCAUUAACGAGCAAGAAAUGCAAAUUGAGCAAUUAAAACAAAUAAAUAAAAGGAAAGUUUCAGAUGUUGAAAAAUUAAAAUGGGUUGGCAAGAGACACUCCCCUGGUGUUGGAUGUCUUGCUGUAGCAGUUGCUGGAAAAUAGUUCACUUCUUCUUAGAUGCACUCCGUAAGCGUUCUUUGGGUAAACCUAGUGUGGCAGUUGGUUGCUUCUUUUGUUGACUUGGAGGUGAUAAGAUAGAAAAAGGAAGGUGAUUAGUGUGAUAAAUUGGAAAGCAUAAUUGAAAUGUAAAACACAUCCAAUUUAUAAAAGGAAAGAAUAUUUGUCACGGUUAUUUAGGGAUUGCACAAUCCUUCGUUAUCUAUAACUCUGAUCUGCUGACGUCAUCCUAAAAAAAUUACUCCAAUAGUAAAAAGAAUUCCCUCGGUUCUAUCAAUGCAUUGUUAGAAAUUGUUGCUACAGCAAUGAAUCUGGUGUUACAGCAAUCGCCUGUUAGUUUCUUUGCCCAAUUGUUUUUUACUUGCUACAAUUUGUUUUUUUACCUGCUGUAAUUUUAACACAAAGACAUAAAAAAUUAGAUGCACACUUAAAAUAACAAAAAGAAAAUUUAAAUAAUUUAAAAACUAAAUUCAAUGCCUUAAAAACUUGAAAUAACUUCUGUUAGUGGGUUGCCUCCCAAUUAGCGUUUGAUUUUAAGUCCUUCAGCCUGACCUUUCUUAUUUGCUCAACUUGGAUCCUUCAAGAACUGAUCCUUCUUUAGGCUUUUCACAUAAGCUCCCAUAUAUUGCUUCACUCUAGACCCAUUAACCUUGAAUUCUUGUUGGUCUGGAGUGAGUUCCCUUUGCUUGAUUUGCUCGUCAAUUCUGAAGGGUUGCUUCUCCCCUGACCAUGCUAUGUUAGUUGCUCCAUGAUCUUCAUCAUCAAGUUUUUCCAAUGUUACGACAUUGAUUUCUUCCUUACUGCAACAACUGUGUAAUCUCUCUGCUACAACAAGGUCUACAGUACUGACAAAAUUACAAUCUACGACCUCAUCAAGACUUCUUAUGGCAUCUAGCACAUUGAAUGUAACGUGUUGGUCAUUCACCCUAAUGAUUAAUUCUCCUUUUUGAACAUCAAUGAGAAUUUUUCCCGUGACUAAUAAAGGUCUUCCUAGAUUGAUUGGCACUUCCUUGUUUGCCUCAAAGUCUAGUACAAUGAAAUUCAUCGGAAAAAUAAAUUUAUCCACCUUCACCAACACAUCUUCAAUCUUCCCUUCUGGAUAAGUAUGAGAUCUGUCAGCAAGUUGUAAAGUCACUGUUGUUGGUCUACAUUCACCAACUCCCAAUUGCUUAAACGCUGAUAAAGGCAUAAGAUUGAUGCUAGCCCCCAAAUCACAAAGUGCUUUGCCACUGUAUUUAGUGCCUAUGGAGCAUGGGAUUGUGAAGUUUUCUAGAUCCUUCAUCUUCUGCGGUAUCUUACUCUAAAGUUGCACUUUUUUAUUAGAGCAAUUAUCUCAAAUUCUCCAAAUCUUCUCUUCUUUGCCAAAAUAUCCUUAAAAAAUUUUGUAUAAUUCAGUAUUUGCUCUAGAGCUUCCACAAAAGAUAUAUUGAUAUGUAAUUGUUUCAGCACUCCUAAGAUUUUGCUGAACUGCUUGUCUUGUUGUUGUCUCUGGAACCUUUGAGGAAAGGGUGGUGGGUGUCUAAACUGUUGUGCUGUAGCAGGUGGUGCAGACUGCUUAUCUUUUGCCAUGUUCUAGGCUAGUGCUGCAACCUCGUUAUCCAUAGGUGUUGGAUCAUCUUUUUCAGAAGAUGUUGUAGUUUGGCUGCUCUUGCCAGUGUGUUGUGAAGUAGAUAAUUGUGACUGUUCUUGAAUUUGAGUUUCUCCCUGGAUUGAAGUGGACUCAACUCUUCUUUUUGGUACACCAACUGGACUAUGAACAUCCUUUCCAGAUCUCAAGUUAAUCACUUUGUAGUGCUCUUUCCCUUCUCUUCUUAGGUCAUCUGUGUUAUUGAGUAAAUUGCCCUGAGAUCUGUUGCUUACUGCUGUAGUAAGCUAUCCAAUUUGAUUUUCUAGGUUUUUCAAAGAUGCAGCAUGACUUUGGACAACUACUUCAUUCUUCACAAUAUAAUCCUUAAUUAAAGCUUUAAGGGAGCUGAGUUGAUCAUUGUUGAUGCUUCUUUGCCCUUGAUUUUGCUGAUAAAAUCUAGGUGGUUGAGCAUGUCUGUUCUGUUCACUGGGUGUUGCAACAGUCUGGUUUUGAUAACUCUAUGAAACGUUCGGGUGUUGUCUCCAUCCAGGGUUGUAAGUGUUUGAAUAUGAAUUAUUCUGGUUCUGUCUAUUGAGGCUGCCCACGUAGUUGAUUGAGGCUGAAUUUCCAGGAUAAUUGUCAAAUAAGUGUCUUUCUCCACAAUAAAUACAAAAGACCUCAGCAACUUGGUUAACAGUUGUUGAAGCAAUGGUCAUAACUUUCACCAUAUUUGUUAAUGAGGUUACUUGGGCUGGCAAUACUAUCAAGGCCACAACUAAAAUGAAAUUGGAAAGAAAAUGAAGUACUAGCAUAAAAAGAGGACACUAGAAAUUACGUGGUUCAGUUUUUAGCUUAUGUCCACAUGGAAAACAGAAGAAAAAUAUUUUUUUAGUGAAAAUUAGUUAUAAGUAUUGUAGUGUUUUGACUCAAUCCAAAACCCAAUACACCUAAACUCUCAAAUCACUCAAACAAGAAAUUGAACCUCUAUCACUCUCAAUUCUGGAUUUCUCUCUAAAGAGGAGAAAAUGAAUAAAGAAUGGAUGCUAAAAGGGGAAAUGAAGCCUUGUAUUUAUAGCCUUCAUUUCCUCUCCCAUUUUUAAUUAAAAUGAUAAAUUAUUAUUUUAUUAUUUUUUUCAACUCUUGCAACACCAAAUUCGAUGCCGCAUUUGGUUUUCAACUUUGGCAGCACCAAAUUGUCGACAUUUGCAGCCAACAUUGGCAACCAUUUUUGACACAAAGUAUGGAUAGUAAAGGGAGAACUGAAAUGAAACCAUUGUAUGGUGGUCAACAUCAAGAUCAGGUAGCCUAACAUUCCAACAGGGAGAAAAUCCAAGUCAGACAUGAUCAGACUCAUGAACUCGUCAGUAAAUAAUUGGCGAUAGUCAUCAGCAUGUUUGGUCUCAAAAGGAGUCUUUAUUCCAAAAUUUUAGUGACAUGUGACGUAUCAUUCAUUAGCAUCAGUAUUAAAACUUUCCUCAAGUUGAAUAACAACACAAAGAGCAAAUCCAAUAUAGUUUUUUUUACAACAAUGUAGUGGCAGUUGAAUAGCAAUUGAUGAGCCAGAAUUUUGAUAGCUAAACUAGUUAGUAAUUUCACUUCCUGGUAAACAAAAGUUGAAUAGCAAUGGAUCAUUAAAAUCUUGUUACAUAAAAUUUAUGAUUUCAUCAGAUGUAACAAUGAGAUAAAGAGAGGAAAAAAUUGGGGCGUAUAUACCUUAUACUGAAUUUUUUAUUGAAAUUGUAUCGAUAAAUGCAACUACCAUAUGCUGAAUUUUUUGUUGUGAAUCUGCCAAAAUGUUUCCACUUUUAUUCAGUUUUAGGCACUUUGUAAAUAUGAAGUACGUUAACUUCCUUGUUGUAAUUAUUCGGAAGAGUUUGGAUAGUGAUUCCAACAUGAAUGUAUCUACUUUUUCUGGAUAUGAUGGAAGCUCUAGCAAAUAUUACAGCUACUCGCAAUUCUGUGCUUCAAUAUGACUUAGAUGAACUAGAAGCUUUGGUAACGACUGAAGCGUGUUGCAAUUUCUCAAUUCAAGAGUUCUCAAUGGUGAAAUUUGCUUGAUACUUAUAGCUAAACUCACCAAGUUAUUUCAAGUCAGAUGUAAGCUUUCCAAUGAGCAUAGACAACCGACACUUAUAGGUAAAUUGUCCAACUUAUUUUCAACUAGAUUCAUUCUUUUCAAUGAGGAUAGAGAGCCAAUACUUGCAGGUAACCUCUGAAAGUCAUUUACACAUAGAUUUAACUCUUUUAAUAAGGACAGACAACCAAUAUCUUGUAGAAUUUCCAUUAUGGCAUGGUAACUUAAAUCUAGCCAUACCAUAGAUGAUAACAUACUAUUGAAAUUCUAAAUAUAAAAGGGAAAAUAAGACAAGCUUUUGCAAUUUAAAAGAUUAAUUCUCUCAAGAUUUGGGAUUUUUUAUGGUUCUAGCAUCCUGAUGAGAUUGUAACUGUAACACGCUAGGCGAAUCCCACAUCGGCAAAGCACAGGAGAGGUGCUGGAUUUACAAAGGGUGAUUCACACCUUAAUUGGCAAGAUGCCAUACACCCCAGAAACAAACCCAUGCAGGCCUUGUUAAGGCUCACAGCGGACAAUAUCUUGCCAAGUUUAGGUUGGGUUAUGACAUUAUGGUAUCAGGGCAGCUCCGCGUGUCCUCUUGACCGAUGGUGGGGUAAACUUCAGCGAGGACGCUGAGUCCCCAAGGGAGGGUGUAUGCAACACCUUAAGCGAAUCCCACAUCGGCAAAGCACGGGAGAGAUGAUAGGUUUAUAAGGGGUGAUCCACACUUUAAUUGGCAAGACGCGUUUUGGGGUGUAUGGGCGCCCCAAAAACAAACUCGUGCGGGCCUUAUUAAAGCCCACAACGGAUAAUAUCUUGGCAGGUCUAGGUUAGGUCAUGACAGUAAGAGUGGUGGAGGUCAAUAAGUUUUAACCUUAGAGCUUCCUAUUACAAAUGAUAGAUAAUUAUAGUAUUAAAUUAGUACCAAUAAAUUUCGCUGUUGUUUGUAUAUAUAUAUACACAUACACAGAAAAAUAAAAAUGAAUAAUUUGGUAAUCGUAUUACAUUAUACUUUUUCUUCUUCCCAAAUUUGCUCAACUUUACUAUAAGACAAGUUGACCUCAAUAAGGUUCUCUAGUUCAAAAUCAGAUGGCAAUGUUUUCAAAAGAUAUUCAUGCAUUUUACAAAUAGAUAUUUUUAUUCACUUUAUAAUUAAAAACUACAAUUCUUUAAAUAAGGGUAAAACUGUAAUUUGAAACAAUACACUCUCAGACCAAGACAAAAUAAAUAGAUAAAUAGGAUUCUAAUUCCUAUUCUACACUCUCAUUUUAGUGUAAGUAAACAAUUUACUCUCACUCCUACUCCACAUUCCCAAUCCCAUAAUUCCAACUCUUAAGGAUUCCCAAUCCAAACCACCACCUUGAUGUAGUAGCUUAGCUACUCUCAAUAUUACAUGGAAUCUAAAUGUUCAAAUCUUGGUGCAAAGAGUGGUAACAGAACUUAACUCCAAUUUCACUCUUUAUAGCAUAAGAUAAAGCCUUCAAUAGAUUCCUUACAUCAAUAUUUUUGCUGGGUACUCUGCAUUUUGGGUAAAAGCCUAUUUAAUCCCUGAAUUUUAAUAUUAUUGUCCAUUUAGUCUCUGUAUUUUUUAAAAUACCUCGAAACAUCCCUGUCGUUAAAGUAUUGAUACCCCUACCUUUACUUUUCAUUUCUUUUAGCUUACUUUUACAAUAUUACCCUUUUAUAAUAAUUUUUUGGACAUUAAUAAAAAGAAAAUAAUUAAAUUACUAAUUUAACCCUAAAAAAAUUAUUUUAAUUUUUUUGCAAGCACCGUUUGCGCACUUGGUAGUUUGCAUACAAUUUUUGACAAUUAAAAAUUAAUAUAAAUUUUUAUUUUUAAUUUUUAGGGUUAAAUUGGUAAUUUAAUUAUUUUAUUUUUAUUAGUGUCCAAAUAAAAAAAAUUAUUAUUGAAGGGUAAUAUUAUAAAAGUAAGCCAAAAGAAAUAAAAAGUAACAGUAAAUGUAUCAAUACUUUAACGGUAGAGAUGUUUUGAGGCAUUUUAAAAAAUAUAGGAACUAAAUGGAUACUAAUCUUAAAAUAUAGGGACUAAAUAAACUAACCAAUAGUUUCUCAAAUCUCAUCCGUGCCACCAACAGCUCUUAUAGCGUGUAACUAUAUGUACGAACAGAGGAAAAAUGUGGGGGAGUUAACCAUUUAUAUUUACCAACAUUUCAUUCAUGUUUACGAAAGAUCAUAUGCGGGCAACAUACACUCAAAACAUGGAGAUUAAUUAUGGACAAAGCAUAGCAUACUUGUUGAGGCAUUGUGGACAAAAAUAACUCCAAAGCCUCGUUUCUUCAUUGCUUGAGCAAUAGAGAGCGUGCUACAAGGUCAUCUAGCAUGUGCUUGUCAUUUCGUCUAAAGUAUAUUAUCAUCCCCGAGAUUCGAAUUCAGGCGGUAAAAAAUAUACCAACUAAAAAUAUUAUACAAUAACCUUGCAUAAAUUAUAUGGCAGUGUCCUUGUCAAUGAAAUCAAGCUGUUCCUUUAUUUACUUUGUGCAUUGCUUUCACUAACUUUCUCUGCUAAGCUUCCUUAGUUCAGUGGCUUUAACUGGGAAUUCGAAAAAGCUUCAUUUAAAGUUUCUAUUGAGCAGCAUCAACGCCCCUUUUAAUUACCUCCCCAUAUCAUUUCUCUUGAUUGCACCUUUUUUUUUUUUUGCGUGCAAUCAAGUUGAUGUCGAGAUUUGGAAGUUGAGAAUGCAUCAAUCAUUCAUUUGUAUAAGAUUACUUGAACGUAUGAUUGAUUAAUGUGAAUAGGAGAACGAAAACACUUGAUUAAUGUGAAUAGGUGAACCAAAACACAUCUUCCUUUUUUUUUUCUUUUUUUGUUUGGGGUUAAUAGACUCUUCAGUUAGUUUUGACUAAGGUCAUUCAAAAGUCAGUUCAAACUGUUACUUUUGGCGCUCGUUUUUGCUAACCAAAUCUGUUUGUCUUAAAUGUUAGCUUCUGGGCAUGAACUCUGAAGGGGCAAUAUCUCGUUGUACAAAUACCCUGAUAUAAUUUUGUAUGUUAUCACUAUUAUUAGAUAAACUGUCACCUCUUUGUCAUUUAUAAUCGAAAUUUUUUAAGCAACAUUUUUAUUAACUACAUCGUUCAAAAUCAAUUACAUUUAUAAGUUUAUUGUCAUUAUAUGGUUUCAUUUGGGUAAUAUGAACACAAAGUUGGAUAUAUAAGCUGGCAUAAUAUGAGAAAUAUGCUGCGAUAUAAAUUAGCACGACUUAAUUUACAUAAUUAACGAGGCAACACUAAAAAACUCAAAUUAAUCCUCAAAUUUGGGACGAAAUUAUGUAGUUAUUUUUUCGGUUCUCACACUAAUCAAAAUGCACAGUAAAUGUAUACCAAGUUAGUUCGAACAAUCAGGCCCAAUUAGUUUGAAAAACAAAGCAAUAUCUUCCAGAAACUUAAGCCUUCUCCAUGUUCUUUUAUUAUAUUCUCACGCUCAUAAACAUAAGAAAUAGCAUUCCCCAGCAUGCGUACUUCAAGAAUCUUGCUUGUUUUUCUGCAGUUCAUUCGUGCCUCCAACGGCUCUCAUAGUGUAGUAAUAAACUCUAAAGACAAAUGCUGUCAAGCUCCCAGCAACAACCAGAUUCUUGGUCUUUGGAGCAAGGGUAUUAAAUCCCAAGCAAUAAACCUCUGCCUAUGUAGUUAUACGUUCAAAGCUGCACAAUGAAAAAUAAAAUGGGAAUCGAGUUAGACUAACUUCUAAAAGAUAUAAAUAGUAAUGAUACCGUAAAGCAACUCAGAUACAUGUUGCCACCUAAAAUCUUGACUCAGCAUAAACAACAAAUUCCGUUUAGGAAGUUCUCAGUGAAGCACUGCCUGUAGACAAACAUGCAGGGUGCCAAUCUCUACGAACAUAAUAUGAUUGAGCUCGAACCUCCAAUGCACAAAAAUGCAUCGGAAUUGGCAAUAGAGUUACGGUUACAAUAACUCUAUGUGGAGACUAUAAAUUCUAGAAAGUCCAUAUAUUCCUUUAUGCACCGCCAAAUACUAUGAUUGAUGUAAGCUAGAGAUAUCCGACGGGGCAAAUGGUAUGAGGUGAGGAACGUCACGGCUCAAGCACAGCACGGCACAGUACAUCCACGCUUUAUCAAUAUUUUUUUAACUAAUUGCUAACAUAAAUACUGUCAAACAUGUUAUUUCGAUAAUCUUUUGUGGGUGUUUUAAUAGAUUGGUGUCAUNNNNNNNNNNNNNNNNNNNNNNNNNNNNNNNNNNNNNNNNNNNNNNNNNNNNNNNNNNNNNNNNNNNNNNNNNNNNNNNNNNNNNNNNNNNNNNNNNNNNNNNNNNNNNNNNNNNNNNNNNNNNNNNNNNNNNNNNNNNNNNNNNNNNNNNNNNNNNNNNNNNNNNNNNNNNNNNNNNNNNNNNNNNNNNNNNNNNNNNNNNNNNNNNNNNNNNNNNNNNNNNNNNNNNNNNNNNNNNNNNNNNNNNNNNNNNNNNNNNNNNNNNNNNNNNNNNNNNNNNNNNNNNNNNNNNNNNNNNNNNNNNNNNNNNNNNNNNNNNNNNNNNNNNNNNNNNNNNNNNNNNNNNNNNNNNNNNNNNNNNNNNNNNNNNNNNNNNNNNNNNNNNNNNNNNNNNNNNNNNNNNNNNNNNNNNNNNNNNNNNNNNNNNNNNNNNNNNNNNNNNNNNNNNNNNNNNNNNNNNNNNNNNNNNNNNNNNNNNNNNNNNNNNNNNNNNNNNNNNNNNNNNNNNNNNNNNNNNNNNNNNNNNNNNNNNNNNNNNNNNNNNNNNNNNNNNNNNNNNNNNNNNNNNNNNNNNNNNNNNNNNNNNNNNNNNNNNNNNNNNNNNNNNNNNNNNNNNNNNNNNNNNNNNNNNNNNNNNNNNNNNNNNNNNNNNNNNNNNNNNNNNNNNNNNNNNNNNNNNNNNNNNNNNNNNNNNNNNNNNNNNNNNNNNNNNNNNNNNNNNNNNNNNNNNNNNNNNNNNNNNNNNUGUCAAACAUGUAAGAAAGUUUUUUUCGUUGCAAUUGGUCACUUUCUAGUGAUGAAAUCAUUCAUCGCUAAAGACAUCUUUAGCCAAAAAAAAAAAAGUUGUUUGUAUCAAAACAUAAGAUAUAGCAAGUCCUCGUAAAAAAAUUACUUAUGGCAAUGAAGAAUUAUUUUUCGUAUUUUGGGUAUCAAAUUAAUGGGUUCUUUGAAUCUAAUAUCAGCUGAUGCUGAUGGUGGUGCAAUUAGCGACAAUGAAGAUGGCUGGCAGGAAGGAUUGCACAUGCCCUAGGUGCCCGUACCAAUAUGGAUAAGAUCAUGCCACAUUAAUAUGACUUGAUAUUAUUUUUAUGGUCUGCAAGAGAGUUCUGGAUAUUUCAUAAGGUGAAAAUAUUUUGACAGUUUAAUAUUAGAAAAGCAAGGACAAUGCACACAUACGUCAAAGCACAAUAUUGAACGAACAUUGGAUUGCAUAAUCUUAAAAUUUUAACAUAAUAAUUAGUGUAAAUAUUAAACUUAAUAGAAUCAUUAAAUAUUAUCUAUUUUAAUGUAAAAAUUAAAUUUUUUAUAUUUUCUCUAAAAUCUGAUCAAAUAUUAAAGUCGUCCAGUUUUUUAUUUAAUUUUAAUUAAUGUAAAUGAACGGAAUUACAACUGAAUUCAAUUUGAACAAUACAAAUUACAUGUAAAUUUUCCUUAUUCAAUUCUAACUUAUAAAUAACUAAUACAAACCGAACACAAUGAAAUUACUCUUACUGCCUUCAAUCAUGGGAGUAACACUAUGUUUGCUCAUUUUGAAUAUUCAAUUAGGAUAUUUAUAAUGUGGCAUCUUAUUUCUCAUCCAUUAAGUGGAUUGUAAAAUAAUAAAAAUAAUAAUUAUUAUUAUUAUAAUAUAUCAAUUAAUAUCACACCAUGUUAUAUCACCUUUGCGUUAGUAAAUUUCCCGCCACGUCGAGUCCUAUGAGUUGCUAUAUAUGUUCCAAUUUUGGAAAUUCUUGUCUUGAAACUUGAUGGCUCGAGGGAAACAAGGGAUAUUAUGAUAAUUAUAAACAUAACAAUCACUAAAAUAUUAUAAAUAUUUCAUUUACACUCUUUAAGUUUUUAUAAUUUUCAUAUAAUAAUAGAGUUUUUAUUUUAUUUUCAAGUAUCUCCUCAAUUCAACUUUUUUUUUCCCAAUUUGAGUAAGAGGCUUAUUUAUAAAGAGAUUAAAACCGAAAUCACUAGGGGGCUAAAUGUUAGUAUUGCUGUAUAUUAUUAUAAAAAAAUGUUAAUGCUUGCUCUAAUUAACACAUUAUAACAUUAUCACUAUUAUUAGAAAAGUUGCAAAGCUAUAUAGUAACAGUUAAUUAACAAUACUUAUCAUAUUUUCAUGAUUUAUUUCCUCUGUAGUCAUACUUGUUCUUUUUCUUUUUAUUAAAUUAAAUUAUUCAAAUAUAUCACAUUCUUUCUCACUAAAAUAAAUAAAGAGUUUUAUCCGACGCACUCAGUUACGAGUAUUAUUAGAUAACCUGUCACCUUUUUUAUCAUUUAUGAUUGAAUUUUUUUAAGCAAAUUUUUAAUUAACUUCAUUAUUCAAGAUCAAUUACAUUUGUAAGUUUAUCAUGUAUUAUAUGAUUUUAUUGAGUAAUAUGAGCAGAAAGUUGAAUAUAUAAGCUGGUACAAUAUGAGAAAUAUGCUUCUAUCUAAAUUGGAACGACUUGAUUUACAUAUUUAACGAGUGAACCUAAAAAACUAUAAGGCCAGCCGAACGCUAACUAGAAAACAAUACAAUUAUAAUUUGUGAGCUAUAAACAAAUAGAGUCUGAAGAUACCACUUAUAUCAUGAAAGUUGGGCUCAAUUUUAUAAAGCCUAAAAGAAUUUUAAAUGGGCCAUGCACUAUUUUUCUCCAAGUUAAGCUUUUGACACCACUGAGAAGUUCUUAUAAAAGCCCUCCAUGAUGUUUACGAUUUUACUCCUUAAUUGAAAUUACAAUAAAAAACAAAGACUUACUAAUUAAAUGUACACACAAUUUGUUUUUAAUUGAAUACUUUUUAGUCAAAAUCUUUUUAGGGUCACGAUUCGUGUCCCAAAACAGAAGGUUUCAUCAUGACUUCUGACACACUUAUUUUUAUCUUCAAAAUCUUAGACUACUUUUAAAUUUUUAUUUUCAUGAUAAAUUUAGAUUAGAUUUUGAGUGAUAGAGAAAGAAAGAUUGCAAAGAAGAAGUAUUACAUUUUGUCUUUGAACAAAACCGACCUAAACCGAGAUAGUUCGAUUCGGUUCUUUAAUUCAGUUCAUAUUUGAUUCAGAUUCUAAUAAACCAAAUCAUUUCCUUUUGAUGGGGUUUGGAUAGGGUUUGGAGGCUGAAUUGAACUAAACUGAACCAAUAAAUGUCUGGCCCUAACCCUAGGCAGUGGCGGAUCUAGAAAAAUAAUUUACCGGGGACUAAAUUAGAUAAUAGUAAAAUAUAAAAAACUAAAAUUUUGAAUAUAUAAAAUAUUUGCUAAUACAUUUAUAAUUAGUCUCUACGCAUUUUUAUAUUUUAAAAAUGAUAUGUAAUAGACUCAUUAUCAAUAUUAUUAAAUUUAUUGUUUCUUAUAGAAAUAACCAAACUAUCACUUAUCCUAUCCGAUUCUAAAGAUGAUUCUUCAUGAGUUUUAUUACUGAAAACAUUCGUUCUACUAUUAUUAUAUAAACAGGAAGAAUUAAUCAUAUUUUAGAGAAUAAAAAAUAUUUGGGGUGGUGGGCUAUUAUUAUUUUUAAUUAAAAUAUAAGUUUUUAUAUUUCUUAAAAGUUAAAGUUUAAAUUUUAGGAGGUUUGUAUUUUAUAAUGAUUAUUUUAAUAAAUUUAAUGGGGACUAAUUACAAAAUUAAAAAAAAAAUAUAUAUAUAUAUAUAUAUAUAUUUUUUUUUUUUUUUGUCAGAACCUCCACUUCAUGAGCUGCAUCCGUCCCUGGCCCUAGGUAAUCCAAGGAAGAACAUUCAUGAGUUAUGACCUACCACACCCUGAUGUUGUUCAGACCAAAUACAGUGCGUGUAAAUUUUAACAAUUGCAGUGAGGUGUGUUUAGCACAUUGAAUUAAUUGAUUAAGGGCUAGGGCUGCAUUCCAUAGAAAGUAAUGCCCUCGCAUGUAACGUUCUGCUUAGCCUAUUUAUGGAUAAGGCUGGAUUAUUUUUCGAAAUAAUUGAAUUGCUGGAGCAUUAUUGGUUUGUCAAUUUGAAUAGUCGUCCAUUUCACCAUCUCUAAUACGAAAUAUUCCAGUUUUGUAGCUCAUUCUUGUCCACGAAAAUCAAGAUGAAACAUAAAGAUUUAAUUUUAUUUAUUUGAUGAAUUAAUAGAAAAUAAAAAAAAAAUAACAAUGAUCAAAAUUAACUUCCCCUAAAAAAAGAUCAAAAUUAAUUUUGUAUGUUUAACAUUAUUCUAUAAUUAAAAGCGGUUCGUAAGGCUAGCGAAAUCCUAACUAGAUAAAAAACAAUACAAUUGGUACAUGAUAAUUUGUGAGCAAUGAACGGAUACAGUGCGUGGAUAUCACCUGGAGCAUGAACGUUGGGCUUAAUUUUAUAAAGCCUAAAAGAAUUUUAAAUGGGCUACGUACCGCUUUUUGUUCUACGUUUAGCUUUUGACAUCCCUCAAAAGUGCUUAUAAAACCCCUCCCUGAUGUUUGCGAUUUUAAUCUUAAUGGAAAUUACAAUAAAAGACAGAGACUUACUAUUUAAAUGUACGCAUAAUUUGUUUUUAAUUAAACACAUUUUAGUUAAAAUCUUUUUACUGGUCACGAUUCAUAUUCCAAAAAUAAAAAGGUUGUGUCAUGACUUUUGAAUUAUGCAAACAUUAAAGUUUAUAAGGAGAAAUUAAAAAAACUAGAAAAGUUAGAUGACAAAUGGGGUUAAUUUGAGAAAAUUCAGACCUCUAAAUAACUUUUAUGUUGCCAAAAUAAUAAACUCAUGACCUUUUAAUUGAAUAAUAUCAAGCUUUAUAUAUUAAAUUUUAUUUAAAAUUACAACCUAAAAAUUAGUAACACUAAGCAUGUUUUCACAUAAUGCUCCACUACUUAGGGACCUCCCCUGAGAUUUAGGUACUUGAGACUUAGAUAGAAUAUAUUAAUAUAAUUAUAAAUACAUCCCCUACCAUUAGUUACCAGUUAGCUUAAUUGUUAGUGGACAGCCAAAAUUACAAGAAGUGUUCUAUUUUUGCAGGUCAUGCCAAGUUACAUAUAAAAUAACUUACAUUAAUUGAAGAGUUGUCAAACAUAUCUUGAGUGUAAGGUAAAAGCUACUUCAGCGUCCACUGGUGUGCGUGGACGAGCAGAUGCCAACCACUCCCACACACAUGCAAGUGGCUAGUAAGUAGAUAUGAAAAAUUUUAGAAUAGAUAUUACAACUAAUUAAUAUAUAUGUGAGAUCCGUAAUUGUAUUUAAUAUAACUAUCACUUCAUGCUGAUUUUUUUAAAAAAAUGUGUGUAUAUUAAAAUAUUAUUGAUUUACUAUUUGACUGGCAUGGUAUAUCUAAUAUUUUAAAUUUUUUUAUUAAUUAGAGCUAAAAAUAUGAUGACGUGUAUGACUUUAUGGUGAUCCGUGAACGCACGGCAUCAUUUAUAUUUUAUUCAAUUGGAAACAACCAAAGACAUUUGUAAUUACAUCACCGUGAUCAUAAGAGUCACGCCAAUAUUUCCAUAAUAUUAAAGUUUAUUGUCCUAUACAAAUUUGAAGUAUAUAUUUUCUAUAAUGCAAAGUAAAAAUUGAACCGAAUUGAACUUGAAAUUUGAUUUGAUUGGUUCGGCUUGGUUUAGAAAUUAAAUCUUUUUUAUGGUUUUUAUUAAUUCUAUUUUAUUUUCAAAAACCCGAACCAUUGUUGGCUUCCAAGUUAAUCGAAGAUUAAUAAGAGUUUUACAUGAUACACGUGUGCGGUUCUCACCAGACUUUCUUGCUGCUUUAUUCUUUGAUUCUCUACGGCUUUCCGUCGAGCUUCCUGAAAUUUCUUGGAGUUCUCAAUGCAAUAAAUUUACAAAAUUUGAUGCAAUCCAUGAAGGAUAAGCAAAGGAAACAAAAUUAGAAAAAGCAAGAGCCUCCUUUAUUUAUUUUAGGCUUCCUGGAAGAUGGAAAUUUCUUGGAUAUUUCCGAUUACCGUGCACUGCAUACUUGGUACAAGCCCGUGUAUCACUGUGGGUCUAUGAAAGUUCUUUAUAAUUGAAUCGAUUGUUUACCAAUUGUAGCAUACUUUACAAGAGAUGAUGAGUAUCAAUUGAUUCUAAUUUUAGCUAGUUAGCUGCUUUACUGAGAAAUUAUAAUCAAGUUAUUAUUGAUAUUGUCAAAUAACAGCGUAUUUUCUAACAUAGAAAAUGAAUAAUUGUCAGUUAUGCAGUAUGCCCAAGUCAAGUCAACAGAGAUAUGCAUCGGACUAAGCACCGGAUCAUAGGAAAAAAUAUUAAAACAUAUGCAAAGACUAGGCUUCCUUUUUUUUUGAAUGAAGUCCUGCUAUUAUUAAAAGAAAAAUAAUGUUUGGUGUCCGAUGUAUUACUUCUUAACCCAAAAAUGUUCAAUUUCAGAUUUAAAUCGUUAAAUAAGAUUAGCUAAACACGCGUAAAGUUCAUUAGAUUAGCUAAAUACGUAAUGUUACGAUUUUUGUCAUUGCGAUUAUUAUUAUUUAGCAGUCCCGCUCAAGAGCCAAUCCACAAAGAGAUAUUCCACUAAAAUAAAUAGCAAACGACACAAAAUAGAGCAGCUUGCCCCGACAAUGGGACGCAGACAGACUAAUAACUUAAAUAAGUUGUGAUUAAUAAUAAUCACAAACUUUAAUCGUUAUAUUGUGAGAUAUUCUUUGUCAUUCUUUCACUUGCAUUUUGCACAAAUGAAAAAGCAGAGAGAGGCACUGGGAUUCAGAGGCCCGAUCCUUCUAGUGAACAUUAAUUGUAACUAGAGUUAGGUAAAAUUUGAUAUGAUUCAAUUAAUUGAUAAGAGUACAGUCUAGAUAAAUAGGUUUGGGUUGACAAAUUUGACAUAAUUAUUAAAUAGGCUGAGUGUUGGUUGACAUGAUUUUUUUCUUUGUUAAACUAAGAUGAAAAUUUUUUACUCAUUUACUUGAUUAAUAACACAAUUAUAUUUUUUAUUUUGAAUUAAUUUAUAGGUUCUUUUCAUCAAAACUUAAAUAUUAAACAUGAAUAUUCUCUCGUUUCUCUUUCUUUCUCUCUCUUUCUUUUUUCAAAGAAGGAUGAAUAUAAACUUAGUGUUUCAUUCAUAAAAUUCUAUACAAAUAUAUAAUUUCAAUAGUAUAAAUGUGUAACAUUUUGGUAUUUAUGUAUAUAUCCUCAUGUGUUAAGAUGAGGAUACAUACAAAGAUAUUAGAAUUACAUAUUUUAAUUAAUUAGAGACUUUUUUUUUUGUAUGUUUGUAUAUUAAAUUUUUUUUUUUUAUAUUUUAGCGGCAUUCUCAACAACACAUCACUGCCCUCGAUAACCUUUCUCACAUAAUGAUAUUUCACAUCUAUGUGUUUUGUCUGAGCGUGAUAUGUUGGAUUCUUCGCGAGGAAUAUCGCACUUUGGUUAUCACAAAAGACCUCAUUCUUCUCUUGGAUCACUCCCAAAUCACUCAAAAAGCCUUUCAACCAGAUAACUUCCUUUACAGCCUCAGUUACUGCCAUAUACUCUGCUUCUGUAGUGGAUAGAGCAAUUGUCCAUUGUAGAUCGACCUCCAACUAAUCAGACCUCCACCCAACGUGAAUAUAUAGCCCGUUGUUGAUCUUCACUUAUCUAAGUCUCCGGCAAAAUCAGAAUCACAAUACCCCACACAUUGUUGACCAUAAUCCUUCUUGAACAAUAACCCAACAUCAACUAUUCCAUACAGAUAUCAGAGAAUCUACUUUACUGCAAGCUAGUGAUUUUCACCUGGAUUGUGCAUGUAUCUACUAACCAUGCUCACUGCUUGAGAUAUAUCGAGCCUUGUGCAUAUCAUAGCAUACAUAAGACUACCCAUAGCACUAGCAUAUGAAACACGAGAAAUGUAAUUACGCUCCUCUUGAGAUGUAAGACAUGAAGAAGAGCUUAAUUUGAAAUGAGAAGCUAGAGAUGUACAUACAUGUUUAGUUUUGUCAUCCAUACUGAAUCUUUCUAGUACUGUCUUUAAAUAAGACUUUUGAGUCAACCAUACGCUCUCAUUCUUCUUGUCUCUACGAAUCUCCAUUCCAAGUAUUCUCUGUACAUCACCCAAAUCUUUCAUCUCAAACUCAAAAGCAAUCUGCUUCUUUAAUCUUUCAAUCUCACCUCUGUUCUUCGAAGCUAUAAGCAUAUCGUCGACAUAGAGUAACAAAUAAAUGAAAGACACAAUGAUCGUGUUCCCUUCUGGUGAAUUUCUGCUCUUGUAUAAAUUGAUCAAAUCUUUUGUACCACUGCCUUGACGAUUGCUUCAGUCCGUACAAAGAUUUAAUCAACCUACACACAUGAUUCUCUUUUCUAGCAACUUUGAAACCACAAGGCUGAGUCAUACAGAUUUCCUUCUUCAAAUCUCCAUGUAAGAACGUUGUCUUAACAUCCAAUUGAGCUAACUCUAACUCAUAUUUAGCUACCAAGCAAGUAGGAUACGAAUGGAAGUAUGUUUUACAACUGGAGAGAAUACUUCAUUAUAAUCAAUACCUUCCUUUUGAGCAAAGCCUUUUCAUAUGAGCCUUGCCUUAUAUCGAGGAGUUGUUUGAUUUGAAGAUCCUUGCUUUUUGGUGUAGACCCAUUUAUUACCAGUAGCCAUUUUCCCCUUUGGUAACUUUACAAGUUCCCAAGUCUGGUUUUGAUGGAGAGAUUUCAUCUCUUUCUACAUGGCUAACUUACAUAGAUCACUUUCACUGCUGCAUAAUGCUUCACUGAAAGUGUUGGAGAUGUCAUCAUCAAUAACUGGAAGUACAUAGGCUACCACCACGUCUUUAGUAAGCCAUCCAGAUUUCUUUAUCUCUCUUCUUGGCCUCGUUAUUGCUAUAGAAUCAUCAUUAUCUACAUCAUCAGUCAUUUCUUUAUUUUGUGGGACAUUGAAGAAACAACCUCUUCUUCGACUCUGGGUGUCUUCUCUACAAUUGAACCAUUCUCUGAUGUAAAACUAACUGGUACAUAUGGAGUUGCAUCAAACUCCACUUGUUCCAAUACCUCUCUGGUCUUGUUCUCCACCUACCGAGAACUUGAAACUUUCAUCAUUAAAGCCUCAUCAAACGUGACAUCUCUACUACACAAAUUUUUUAUCUUCAAGAUCCCAAAGCUUGAAGUAUUUUACUCCACCUUUGAAUCCCAUAAAGAUAGCUUUUCUCGCACGAGGAUCCAAUUUACCAUCUUUGAUAUGAUAAUACGCUUGACACCCAAAUAUACGAAGGGAAUCAUACUCUUGUGCAUGCUUUUCAGACCACAUUUCCAUAAGACUUUUAGCUCCAAUUGCAACAGAAGACAACCAGUUUAUUAAGUGACUUGCAUAACUCACAGCCUCAGCUUAAAACUUUUUAUCUAAACCAGCAUUAGAUAACAUACAUCGUACCUUCUCCAAUCAAGUACGAUUCAUAUGUUCAGCUACACCGUUCUGUUGUGGAGUAUAUCUCACCGCGAAAUAUCUUUUAAUACCCUCGUUCCGGCAUACUUACAAGAAUGGAUCAGAAGUAUAUUCACCCUCAUUAUUAUUUCGUAAUACUUUGAUUUUUCUGCCAGUUUGACUUUCCACAAAUUUCUUCCAUUUCACGAAAAUCUUUAGAAGCUCAUCCUUUGCUCGCAUGGUGUACACUCACACACAUCUAGAGAAAUUAUCAACAAAUGUAAUAAAAUAAUGGCUUCCACCAAUUGAUGCAGUCUUGGUUGGUCCCUAUACAUCACUGUGAACAUAUUCAAGGAUCUCACGAGUAUCGUAAUUAGCUGUACCAAAUUUGACCCUUGUUUUCUUGCCUACUACAAAAUGCUCACAAAAAUUUAAUUUACAGGUUUUAGUACCUUUUAAGAGUCCGUGCUUCAUCAAAGUUGCAAAGACUUUUCUCCAGUAUGUCCCAAUCGUAAAUGCCAUAGCUUGGUAGUGUCACUGUGCGCCUCAGCAACAUUUGCUUCAUCAAUUGUACCUCCAUUCAAAUAGUACAAAUUUUGCUGACGAACUCCUUCCAGAAUCACUAUAGCCCCAUAUGUGAACUUCAUUGUGCUAUUUUCAAUAGUCACCUUGUAGCGUUUAGCUUCUAGAGCACCCACAAAGUUAUAUUUUUCUUCAAAACUAGAACAUAUCUAACAUUUUUUAGUUCUUUGACUAUUCCUUCAAACAUUUUUGAGCUGAAUUGUUUUUAUCUCCAUUGUGCGACAAGGUUGAUCAUUCCCCAUCACAACUGCACCAGAUUCCAAUUCGUUGAAAUCUGUAAACCAUUCCCUAAUAUGACACAAAUGGUAGGUUAAUCCAGUAUCAAGUAUCCAUUCACCUGAACUUGCAAAAUAUGUUGUAGAUGUAAUAGACAGUGAGUAGUCUGAGUCUCCAUCCUCACGUGCCAUGUGCUGAGCCUUCAGACAAUCUUUCCUCCAAUGGCCAUUUUUCAUGGCAAAAGGCACACUCAUCUCGAGCUAUAUUUAUGCUUAUCGAUUUGGAUCGAGAAUUCUUUCCACCACGCUUCUUCUUUUUCUCCAUCGUUCUUUCUCUGGCAAACAAAGCUUCAGACGAUGCUCUUUCGGAAUGUUUAUCAUUAUUUCGAAUUUCUAAAUUAGUCAAUGCUGUGCAGACAUCUUUGAAGAUGAGCACACUUUUUUCAUAUAUCAAGGUAGUCAAAAAAUGACUAUAUUCUUUUGGCAAUGAGUGUAACUGAAUCAUAGCCUUGACCUCAUCCUUAAUAUCUUCAUCAAGAUUCUUCAAAUCAGCAAGUAAUUUUUCAAAUCUUGAGACAUGAUCGUGCAUUGACACUCCAGGCUUCAUUCGAAAGCCAUAUACUUAGCUCAUUGCAUGAAGGCAAUUUUCAGGACUUUUCAGCAGGUACUUCUCCUCCAAUGUACGCCACAAAGUCAUCGUACACUCCUCAUCUUUCACUAAGUAUUUCACCUCAUUGAUCAAACAAGAUUUGAUCUGACCACAUGCUUUUUCAUUCACACGAUCCUAAAUUUCUUCAUCAUACAAGUGUCUUUUAUUUUUUAUAACAAUAUCAAGACCGAUUUGAAUAAGGGCAUCCAUAACUUCGCGCCUCCACAUGCUAAAGUUGAUUUUCCCAUCAAAAUUUUCAACAUCGAUCUCCUAGCCUCCUAUAACAUGUGCUGAAUAGCGAUUUGACAAAUCUCGCCUCCCACCUGAAAUGUCUCUUGAAAUAGUCUCAGUAGAUCUCUCCCUAAUUCUGGAAGUUUCACCUUAUACCAUUUUCUCCACGGACUAUUUUCACUUGAAAAACAACCUCUAUGAUGUUAAUUUCGUGGGAAUAAAUGCACCAGGAAAGUUCCCCGGAGACUAAAUAGGAAAUCGGUCCCAAUUAAAAAUCAGAAUCCUUAGACUCUUAUCGCUUUAUUGACAGAACUUUCCUAAACAUGCAAAAAUACACACUACUUACAAUAGAUUGUCUCCCAAGUACAAAUGGCCAUCUCCACCGUAUUCGUGAACAGUACCGUAUAUGAAAAUAGUGUCUUAUACAUGAAUAUUACUGUAUCCCUCAAAGUAUGAAUUGUCGGGUCUGAUACUAUUUGUUGUGCGCAAAAUACGGAAUCAAGCGCACCAAAUAAUUACAGAAAAAUAAAGGACAAUUAUUUAACGUGGUUCGGUAAUUAAACCUACAUCCACGAAGGUAAGAAAGAAUAAUUGUUUAUUUAACAAUUAAUAGAGCACAAAUAUUUGACUAACGAACCUCACUUCUCAGAAACCCAAAUAUAUCCAGUACUCUCACACUCUGCAUAAAAGAUAAAUUCCCCAGACACACUUCUCUUACUUCUCUCAAAAGCUUAGAAACUUAUAAGCUUAACAAAUUUUGGGAUGCAAAUCAAGCUCUCAUCACCUCUCUAUUUAUAGCCUAAAUAAUGCCCAAAAUUCAACACAGCAAUUUGCCCAUUUGUGCUAGCUUGCAUGCUAGUUGUAGGAAGCUUGCAUGCCAGCUACAUGUUUGUUGAAAUUUCCAAGCUUUGGUGCCAAAUUUCAACACGUUUUGGCCAAUUUUGUCAAGCUUUUAUCAUAAAGCUUUUCUUUGUCAAAAAGCUUGGUUUGAGUUUCACAUUUGCUAAUUACAAAAAUGGUGUGCCAAUCUAAAUAUCAUCAAACCCUCCAAAAUCCUCUUAAAAUCCUUUUUAAUUAUGCUCCACCUAAUUUCAAAAAUACCAUUUUCUUUAAAUAAACACUAUUUUCUUUAGUAAAUCUUUUAAUUUUUAAAAAAUUUCUCCCUCUUGAAAUCUUUUUUGCAGUUUUGCUAUCUCCUUUCUUUUCCUUCAAACUUUCUCUCUCUACAAAAUUAAAAGACACAAAUUUCCUAAAAAUUCAAUGUUAAAAAAUAAAGAAAUUGAAAAAAUUAAUGUUUUAAAUCUGUGCCAACCAAUUGUAUAGAUUGAAGAGAGAGAGAGAGAGAAAUCAUGCUUGGGCAAAUAAAUGGAUUGAAAAAUGAAAAGAAAGAAUUUUACUUGUAUUUUGGUCAAUAUAUGUUAAUUAUCAUAUAGUAGGAGUUUUAUGAAAUUAACGGAAGGGUGCCAAUAGUCUUAACUCAUAACGCUGUGCCUUUAGUUUCAACUGAAAAAAAUCUAUAAGUCAAUAAAUUGGGUGGGAUUUCAAUAAGAUUUGAGUAGUUAACACUCGUUUACUCAUAUCUUAACGUAAUAAACUUCAAAUUGAACAUUGUAAAAUUCAUUAAGCUCCUGAGUCAUAGAGCUUCCAGUGAUAGGAAGUUUGUUAACUAAAUCUUGAUGCAUUUAUGCCAGUAAAUUGAGAAUUUUCAGCCUUGUGCAGAAUUCUUGAUAGCUAUGACCUUUGCUAGCUGAAUCUUGAUGCAUUGAUGCCAGUAAAUUGAGAAUUUUGUGCCUUGUGUAGAAUUCUUGAUAGCUAUGACAUUUGCUAGCUAAAUCUUGAAUAUCCUCAAGAAGAGAAGUCCAAAUUUGAUUUCGUAAAAUACUUCAAAAACUAGACACAUUUAUCUUUCUAAAAAUAUACAAUCAUAAUUUAAUUACCUCUAGAAAAGUACAGUCAAUUUGGACAAGUAGAGUCAUAAUCUUCCAUGAAUUUAUUUCCACAAUGCUUGGAAAAUACAAAGCUUGGAAAAUGGAAAGGUAAUUAUCAGGAACUUUAUGGCAAACUCAUCCUCAUUUUGGCUUAGUAAUUGUUUUCAUUUCAUCAAUAUAUCUCCUCAUCUAUUGAACUGUUUAUGUUAUGCCUUCUUCUUCUUCCUCUAAUCCCCAUAACUACUAUAAUUAUGAUGUUUUUCUUAGUUUUAGAGGAGAUAACACCCAUGGCAACUUUACUAGCCAUCUUUAUUUCGCUCUGUCCAAAAUAUCCAUACCCUCAUUAAUGACCAACUUAGCACAGGAGAUGGAAUUUCAAAGUCACUUGUGAAUGCAAUUGAAGUAUCAGCCAUUUUAGUUAUCACUUUCUUCUUUGAUGGCUAUGCAUCUUCCAGACGGUGUCUCGAUGAACUUAUGAAGAUCCUCGAAUACAAGAGAGUGGGUUAAGUGUCUGUUUGAUUCUUAUAUUUUAAAUUAAUUAUGUUAUAUCUAGGGGUGGCAAUUUGGGUCUGAAUUUGUUUAUUCGAUCCAACUCAAUGCAAAUUAAGUGGGUUUGGAUUUGAAAAAUUGAUUCAAAUAAAUGGGUGAAUUCAAUUUGAUUCAUAAUUAAAUGAAUCGAAUUCAAGUUUGAGGACAUUGAAUUGUUUAUUCAUUUAUCAUUUGUUUAAUAAAUGGAUUAUAAAAGAAUUGAAUACGAUUCAUUUGUUUAAAAUUUGUUUAUUAUUUAUUUAAUUAAAUUAUUUAUUUAUCCUUUAAUAUGUACAAUUUUUUUUUAAAGUUUGAAGGCUAAUAUAGUAAUUAUAAAUGAUAAUAAGUUUGUAUUUUGUAGGAUAUUAAAUUUGUGGUCUUUUUAUAUUUUAUUUUGCUUAAUUUUUGUUUAUGAAUUCUAUUUUUUUUUAAAGAAUUCAUAUUCAAUUCGAUUCGUUAUGGAUUCGUUAUAAGAUAAAUGAAAAGCAAAUGAAUCCAAAUUCGAUUUGAUUUGUUUAUUAAUUCUACUAAAAGAAGUAAAUGAAUCGAACCGAAUAUUUAUUUAAUAAAUUAAUCGAAUCCGAAUCAGUAAAGUUUUGAUCUAAUUCGUUCACGAUUCGAUGUAAAUACAAUUCAUUUAUUCAUUUUGCCACCCUACUUAUUUCUAUAUCCUUACUUUUCCUUCGCUUUUAUAAUACCACUCCUUUAACAAUAUUAGAGAUCUUAAUGAAAAGAAAAAACAAUAUUAAUUUAUCUUAAUUGUAAAAAUAUAAUGGUAUAUUUCUAGUGAUGGAAUUAAUUACUGUAUUUUAAUUAUUUUACCGAUGAAGAUAAAAUAAUUAAAAAUAAAUUAAAAGGUUUACAAUUAAAUUAUAAAAAAUACCUGAUUAUAAUUAUAUAAAUUAUAAAUUAAAAAGCCGAAGCGCUUGGACUUUGUGGCCCAGCAAAGUCAUCAAAUGAUCAAAAUCGAGAAUAUAAAGGUGCAGCCAAGAAAAUGAAUGUAAACAGAGGAACCAGAAACGAAGGAUCCAAUCAUUUUGAUUGAUACUUUUGUGAAUACAAAACUAUAAAAAUUACAUGUAUUAAUACUAAUCCGUACGGUCUAAAAAAUUGAACUAAUAAAUGCUUUUACAAUUAUAACAAACUUGUGGCCGGAGUGUUUGUUGGGAUUGGUAACUUGUAGAGAAAGCAAGCUUGUACGAAGAACUACAUUCACCCAGCAACAUUAAAACAAUGUAAAUUGCUAGUUAAACAAAGAGGGAACAUGUUCCCUUUGUAUGCUUUCAGAACCUGACCAAAAUAAGUACAACGCGAGAAGUGGAAAUUAUAUUAAUGUUGCGGGGGUAAGUAAACGAAACAGACGAGGGAAAAUCACCGUAGAUGACCAAACAGAUAUCUUCGAAGGAAAUCCUGGAUGAGCAAAUUUAUAAUAUAAGUUUUGGGUUGGUUUUGGCUGCUGGGAUGAGUAUAUAUACACAUACACAUGUCACAUCUACAGUAUGAGGCUAAAAUUCCCCUUACUGUAUGAAGAAUAAUCUAUGGCUGCUGUAAUAAUUGGGUGAGUGUUACGUGUCCGGUCUUGUUGUUUUUUCAAAAGAAAUGGCUGCCGUUAGUAGUUAUGCCAUAGUCCUAGUCUAAUGCAAAUUGUUGCUAUUUUAUCGUAGGAAGUAGUUGCAGUAGGCUACUUUUUAGCAAUUUUCUUAGGACAUGAACAUUGUAACUUUUGGCUAUUUAUUCCAAGCCACUAGUGAAUAAAGAUAUCAGACAAAUUUCAUUCAAAUAAACUCAAGUGAAGAGGUCACGGGUUCCUCAAUCAACCUGACAAUUUGCAGUACUUUCAUAUUUUCACAAUAGGUUCCAGUAAGCAAAAGAGGAAUAACCCCCAGUACGUACAAGUGAGACUAGGCUUGCCACUUACACAUCCAUAAAAGAUUAAUAUAUGCACCAGACAAGGUACUGGAUCAUGGCAAAAACUGUUGAACGUGCAAAGACAAAGAAAUAUCAGGAUGAACACACGGAUGAAUGGUCAUAUAUGCACCAGCCUUUUCUACAUUCAAUGCUUCCUACUCAAUCCAUAAGUAUUUCUUACAUUUAAGGCUUUCUUACAUUAAAUAUUCAGAGUGAUUCCUUAAAGCAGGGCCAAUAAAAGUGCAGAACUGCAUUCACCAAACAACAUGAAAACUUCAUUCUACUUGUUGGACCAGAAUGAAACAAAUUAAAAGGCUAAGGGAAACGACAGGAAGCUUUGGGUUUUGGUGUCUGAUGACAAAGCAAAACGGCACAGUAGGCUGCGUUUCAAACGGCAAAGCAAAACAUCCAUUUUGUAAAGGAGACUUGUUUCAAUCAAUAAAGUUGAUUAAUUUGUUCCUCCGUGGAUGUAGGUCAAUGUUGAAUUGACUGAACCACGUAACUUGCUGUGUCUGGAUUCUUUCUUGUGGGUUUUGUGUUUUCUUUGAUUGUUUCUUGUUAAUUCAUUGUUCUGUUAAGUUGUUCUUAAUCAUUGUGAGUUUAGAUCAUCUGUAAUUCAUCUUGGAAAUCUGAUCCACUAAUCUUGGGAGAGGUUGCUCAAGUUGGUUAAUAUAACUUGUCAAUCUCUACACUACUAAAUAAAUUGUCUGUUAAACAAAGAGUAAAUGUUCAUAUCAUGCCCCAUUUGCUUUGGAAAUAAAUUGUGUGAUACAACGCCGAACUUCCUUUUUCUACUUUACUGAUCCAAUGCCCAUUUCCACUAACCUAUUGGAAUCAAAAUAAACACAAGAAAUCCAAAUCUGUAGAACGCAGUCUGCAGCAAGUGUAUUUAAAAAAAUAAAUAAAUAGAAAGAGAUAUUUGAUCAAAAGUAAGCAAACAUAAAUUGAUUAUAGCAUUGGGCUUACAUAAGAAAGGCAAAGAAGCUACCUCUGUUACAGAAAAAUGGAGUAAACAGAGAAAUUUGUUGCUGAGGAGUGUUGAAUUGCACUCUGCAAAUUGACUCCUCCUCAUCCUCGUCAGAGCUGCAAGCACUUAGUAGUUAAGGAGUGUUGAUGUGUUUUCUGCAAAUUCUCUUCGGACUGGGUUCCAAUACCUCUUCAUCAGAUCUUCCAACACUUGCAGAGGUUCCACUACCCGUGCCUGUCGUAUCAAUAAAGUCAUUAUGCAAUUUCCGAUGCUGAGAGCAUUUUUCUUCAUUUCUGGGUUUGGCCUGGUGUAGAUUUGCAUUUUGCUGGACUCACCAACAGCAUUACACCUAUGACCUUUCAGGUCAAUGAAGAAGUCAAAUGAAACAGCAGUAUGGUUGUGUCGCCAUCCGGUGGCCCGAUACAGCAACAGGAAUCAAAUCCAAGUAUGACAUGUUCCGAUUGAUGGUCAGGUAGCCAAUCAACAAGAAAGAGUGAUCAAAACUGUAUUCACACAUGACGCUGGUAUAAGACUAACUCCCACAGACUCAAUAAUUGCAAAAAGAGCAAAUCCGGCUUUUGUUACAACUAUGCUGAGGUAGUUGAUAGUUAUUGAAGAUCCUAAAGCUUGAUUAUUGAUCCGUCCUGGAAUUUCACUUACAGGUAAAAAAAUGCUGAUACCAAGCAGUUUAUCAAUUUCUUAUACUCUACAUUAUAAUUAAGGCUGGAUAAAUUUGUGGAAAUACAAGUGUUGUGAGUUAAUGGCAAAACUAAUAACCACUUAAAUUAUAAAGUUUUCGGUCAGAACGUAAGUUUCACCUCUCAUAAUCUCUAAAUUUUUCCUUCCUAUAAGUCAUAUAUUUAAAAAUUAAAAAAAUAAUAUUAAUAAGUAAAAGCUAAUUUGGUGAGGAAAUUAUAUAGUUUUCUUUUUUUUCCCAAUUCUCAUAUCAAAGAAAAUGCGCAACAAUGUAAACCGCACCGAGUUGGAUAGCACUGCCAGGACAAGUUAGUUUGUAGAACAGAGCAAAAAACUAGAAGAUCUUAUCACAUUCUCAUACUCCGAAGAACAAGAAAAGGCCUCCAACAGCUCUCUUGCUUGUUUAAUUUCUGGCUCUCUGCUCUUUAAUUAAACUUAUCUACAUGUCACGGACCGCAAUCGUGGCACCCAAGAUAUGCGCUUGUACGCUAGUGUCGAUGAUGGUUGUGCUGAUUGUGGGAGACGUGCUUCAGGGGCGUGCGUGUGGGAAUACAACGCCCUAGACUCUUUGGAGUUCAGGCAGGCCGACCCGGUUGAGUUUGGGGAGCUUGUCGCUAGUCGAGGAUUUAAUGCUGAAGAGGGGUCUAGGAAAAUCCUGACGCACACUGGUUGGGAACUGAAGCCGUUCUCCUGACGAGCCCAAGGCAGGGCGAAACCAGUCGACAUUGUGCCACUUCCACUAGGCUUACUCUCGUAGUAUGGGAUGCGGGAGUGCCGCACGGGCUCGAAACCUCUCGUCCCGUGACAUACAACUACCUAAAACCAAAUGGCAAAAUAAUUAGGCCAGGCAUCCAAUCAGACACAGGUUCGGCAGCUCCAAUUUAACUAGUUCUUAUAUCUAAUUAAUGCAAAAACUUCUCAUGCAUCCGCAAGAAAGGGGUGUGAUAGCAGCUGUGAAGCAGUCCAUCUCUUCCUAGGGUCGUUCUUCUGCAAGCAACACCUGAUAAAAUCUCUGAAAUUCUCCGAUAAACAUUCUAGCAAGCUCGGCAGCUCCCUAAAGCAUAUGGCCAACAUUACGCUUGGAAAAUAAGGCUUCUGUCCCGGCCUCAAAUAUGGAUAAUAUCCCAUAUAAAGUUUCAUUAUUGUCACCCCAAAGCUCCAUAUAUCCGCAGCGAACCCAUUGUAGCCUCCAUGCUUCUUGGUGUCGAACCUCUCCGGACUCAUAUAAGCAUAAUGUCACAGGAUGAGUGCUUUGUGCAGCAAACCUGUGCGGCACUUAGACAACUUUAACGAACGUUGCUAAAUAAGACUUGAGCUUCUCGAACUAGAGAAGAGAGCAAUAGAGCCGAAUAAGAAAACUUGUAUUACACAAAAGAGAGUUUACAAGAGAGCUUUACAAUGCUUGAGUUGCUUGCUCUAAGCUUGUUGUGUACAAAUGCCUAAUGCCAUCCCAUAUUUAUAGGGGAGGCUUGCCAAGCUCUAGAGAUUCUAGAGAAAUCUACCAACUAUCUAGAAUUUACAUGUGUUGGAAAUGUAUGGAGAAUUCUAGAGUAUCUACAAGCUCAAUGUGCUAGAGUUGCCUAGAACUUUUUGGAAUUGGGCCAAGCUAGCACUCUUGGCUUUGUCUUGGACUCUUGGUGGGCAAUGUGGGCUAGCAAACUGGGCAGUCCGCAACAUCCUCCCCCACCUAAGCUCGCAGCGUCCUCGUCGCGCUCUCGUGCUUGAAAUUCUGGAUGUGUUCAGGGAAUUGCCACAAAUCUUCUUCACGUUCCCAAGUGGCUUCGCUCUUGGGGAGGUUUUUCCACUUCACUAAGUACUCAUUAUGUGUUGGCACGCCUCUCCUCGAAACCACGCGAUCCGCAAGGAUGUAGUCCACAUCUUUAUCGAACGCGGUGACAACGGCGGUUGGCGUGCGCCUUGUUUCUCCAUGACUUGGGUCUUCCACAUCUUUGUCGUAUGGCUUGAGAAGGCUCACAUGGAAGACCAGAUGGAUCUUGAGUCUUGGCAGAAGUUGGAGUUAAUACGAGACGUACCACGUCAUACAACUCGGAAGGGUCCCUAGUAGCGCCUCACUAACCCCUUGUGGACUUUCUGCAAAGUCUUGAAUUGUUGGGGUAGGAGCUUGAUCGUGACUUAAUCACCUUCCUUAUACUCAACAUGACGUCUCCUUGUAUCCACCCACUUUUUCAUCUUCCUCACGGCUUUGUCGAGGUAGGCUCGCGUGAUGUCUGCUUCCUCUUGCCAUUCGUGGGCAAGCUUGUGUGCCACAGGGCUUUUUCCUCCGUAAGUUGAGGCUAUGGCGUUAGGGGUCAUAGGUUGAAAUCCCAUGAUGAUCUCGAACGGACUCUUGCCCGUAGCCUCACUUCGCUGUAAGUUGUAAGAAAAUUGGGCGAUGUCGAGUAGUUUCGCCUAAUCCCACUGAUAAGCACUCACAUAAUGCCUCAAGUACAUUUCGAGGAGGCCAUUGAUGCGCUCGGUCUGCUCAUCCGUUUGUGGGUGGAAGCUUGUAGAGAACUUGAGAUCGGUCCCCAACAUCCUGAAGAGCUCCGUCCAAAAACGCCCAAUGAAUCGAGGAUCUCGGUCACUCACAAUGCUCUUCGGGACUCCCCAAAGUUUCACAAUGUGCUUGACAAAUAGGCGGGGUGCCUCAUCCGCUUUGCAAUCGGUUGGUGCGGCAAUGAAAGUGGUGUACUUGCUGUAACGGUCAACAAUGACCAUGAUGCUGCCACACCCUUUGGACUUGGGCAGCGAUGUGAUGAAGUCUAUGGAGACACUUUCCUAUGGCCUUGUUGUGAGUGGUAGCAGCUCCAAUAAUCCCGCUGGAAGUUGAUGAUCCACUUUGUCUUGUUGGCACACAAGACAAGUUUACAUGUAUGCGUCGAUGUCGUUCCUCAUGUGCAGUAAAAAAUACGAGGCUUGGACUAGUGCGAUAGUGCGCUCGAUUCCUGGGUGACCAGCCCACUUGGAGUCGUGGCACUCCUUGAUUACUUCCUUCCAUAAAUUUUCCCACCUUGGCGCGAACAACUGAUCUCCUUGGUGAGGAGGAUGCCUUCAUCUUGCCAAAAACGCCUUUUCUUUCCCUCGAGCACCUUCUCCAGCAAAUCCUUUACUAGCGGAUCUUGUUGGAGGCCUUCCUUGAUGCGUGAGAUAAGGUCGAACUUCAGUUGGCUCAUGCUAAGUGUUGUGAAAAUUUUAAUAUACUCGCAAGCGCACGAAUCUAGAAAUAGAGUAGUGGUAACGAGGUCGAUCCCACAGGGAUUGUUAUAAAUUAAAAAGUCUAAUUUAAAUCUAAAAUUAAUAUUAAUUAUAACCUAGUUGAUCAAAUUGAGUUUUAAGAGAAAUUAAACUAAUUAAACUAAGGAAACAAUUAAAGCAAAUGAGAAAUCAAUAAGACAAAUUACCAAGGUUUCAGAAUCCACCACUAUUCAACUAGUAAUUAUCUAAUUAUUAAUUAAUCCCUAAUUUUAGAGUGACAACUCGAAAUCAAUCUAUGUCAUCUCAUGGAUAUAACAAUUAAGCCCAAAUAAAAUUAAUCUUGUGUAGGUUCUUUUUCUGCUUAAUAAUAUGAUAUCUAAGCAUCUCAUGUAAACAUAUUGAAUAACAAAGAGUCAAAGUUUUCCUAAGCACUUUAAGUAAACAAUUUAAUGAAAGACAUAAAAUCAAAGACAAUCAUGUAUAAACUUUAUCGAUCCAAGCAUAGAUUUAAUCAAAUAUUAAUCCUAACAAUCAAUAAUGCAUGACAGAAUUGAUGAAAAGAUUUUAUUAACAUCCAAUUAAUCAUGUGAAAUAAAAACCAUAAUCAUCAAAGAACAUAUAUAGGGAAUUAAUUAAAUAAAAAUAUAAUUAUUUCAUUAAAUAGGGUUUCAUCAUUAACCUUAGUAUAAGAAAAUUAGCUAGACAUACUUGAAUUGAAAGCAACACGAGAAAUAAAAUCAGCCAUGAAAGCCAAAAUAUUGCUGCACUCGUCCUAUCUCUCCUCUUCUGCCUUGUGUCUCCAGCCCCCCUCCCUGGUGGCUCCUCUUGCCUUUAUAUAAUGUUACUGGCUUGCUUAAUCCUUAUUGGAUUCUAAUUGCAUUAACUUAUCACAGUCAUCCACCGACUUACAAAGCCCACUCACCAAGGCCUUUUUAAAUUAUUUCCUUAUUAAACUUUGAAAACUAGCCACACGUUUGACCACAAAAGCAAAAGACCAAUUAAUGACUUCUUCUUUUAAUGCCCAGCACAUGCAUUCCAAAUUGCCAAAUCUUUGCUUUCCAACUGCAUGCCCACCGUUCAUCCUUUGAAGGGAUUGACUUCCAAUUUUGUUUCUUCUUGACUUCCAUUAAUUUUUUGCUGCAUUUUUGUCUUCUAAUUUAAUCUUUAUUUUUUCUCAAUUUGAACUUUUUCAUGCCUUUUUUAUCAACAAUCUCCAAUUAAUUCUCUAUUCAAUAAAAUAAUACAAUUAAUUAAAAAUAAGAAAUAAAAAUAACUAGCAAAUAUAUAAUAAAGGGUAAAAUAUGUAUAUAAAUUAUGCUCAUCACUAAGUGUUGCCAAUUCCGCCUUGCUACUUGGAGCGUUCGCAACGACAUUGGCUUUCUGCAAAAAAAUCUUGCCACCGUGCUUGCUUCUUACUCAACUUCUUUUGUGUUUGAAAGUAACUCGUCGCUACGUUGUCCGUCAUAAUCGUGAAGUGAGAGCCUAGCAAGUAAUGUCGCCACACCCGCAAGUAAUGUAUGAUGGAUGUCAUCUCCUUUUCUUGCACCAUGUAGCAGCGUUCCGUAUCGUUUAGCUUUCGACUCUCGAACGCUAUAGGGUGGCUUUCUUGCAUGAGAACUCCACCUAUAGCGAAAUCUGAGGCAUCCGUUUGAACUUCGAAGGGCUUAGUGUGGUCCGGAUAAGCAAGGACGGGUUCCUCCGAAAUGGCCCUUUUUAACUCCUCGAAUAUGCGCUGGCACUCUUCUGACCAAUGCCAUGUUAUGUUUUUUUUUUAGCAAAUCCAUCAAGGGUAUCGCCUUGGCUGAGUAACCCUUCAUGAAGCGGCGGUAGUAGUUCACUAGCCCAAAGAAUGAGCGAAGCUUGGGCACUUUCGAGGGAGGCUCCCAUUCAAGGAUUGCCUUCACUUUGGCAUUCUCGGUCAUAAGCUUCCCGUCCGCAAUCUUGUGGUCAAGGAACUCCACUUUUUGUUGGACAAACGAGCACUUCUCCAAUUUGAGGAAGAGCUCGUUGUCUCGGAGUACUUGGAGGACUUAUCGCAAAUGUUAGGCAUGCUCCUUGAGUGUGGUGCUAUACACCACGAUGUCAUCCAAGUAUACAACCACAAAGCAGUCGAGGAAUGGUUGGAGUACCUUAUUCAUGAGUGUGCAAAAUAUGGCGGGUGCAUUAGUAAGGCCAAAAGGCAUCACAAGGAAUUCAAAAGACCUGUACCUUAUUGUGCACGUUGUCUUCGGUUCGUCUCACUUGAUGAUGCACACUUGAUAGACCGGGAGUGCAAGUCAAGUUUGGUGAAGUACUGCGCUUUGCCAAGCUGAUCGAACAAGUCUACGAUCAAGGGAAUCGAAUACUUGUUCUUGAUGAUGAUCUUGUUGAGCGCCCUAUAGUCGAUGCACAUCUGCAAUGAUCCAUCCUUUUUCUUUUGGAAGAGGACCGGUGCGCCGAAUGGGGCCUUUGAGGGGCAAAUGUGGCCUGCGUCCAACAAGUCUUUGAGUUGUCUCCGCAACUCCUCUAGUUCGGGUGGCGCCAUGCGGUAGGGCGCCAAGGCUGGUCGUUUCGCACCUUGUUCUAGUUUGAUCGAAUGAUCUACCUCUCGUCGAGGUGGGAGCUUCUUCGGAAGUUCUGGAGGCAUCACGUCCUUGUACUCAUUGAGGACUGCUUGAAUUCGCAGAGGGACUCGGCUUGAGGACUUUCUGCAAUCUCCUUCCUCGUUUAGUUCUCAAAUGGAGACCAAGAAACUUAGGUCCUUAUUGAAAGCCCUUUUAAAUUGCAUGGUCGAGAGUGUCUUCUCCUCAGACUUGCCUCGCUUCGUGGGUACCAUGCAUGCUUUGCUCUCGUCGAGGAUGCUUAGGGAGUUCGUAGCAAGCAGCAGGAAGGCAUGGACUUGGUCGAAGAAUUUCAUUCCGAGGACCAUCUUGAAGUCGUCCAUGGGCACAAUGGAGAAGUUGAGCUUUCCGCUCCACGUACCGAGUGUGAUGUGAAUGCCUUGUGCGAGUCCCGCAAUUGGCUUGGCGAGUGAGUUCACAGCCUUGAUCGUGCCUCAUUCUUUGGUGGCCUUGAGGCCUAAGUGCUUGGUCUCGUCUACGGACAUAAAAUUGUACGUUGCUCCCGUGUCUAGUAGCGUGCAAACGGACUGACCGUUUACCUUUGCGCUUAUAUACAUGAGCCCAUUCUUGACUAGUGUGGGUUGUUAGCGAUUGAGUGCGCCGAGGCGUUGGAGAGAAUCCAUGCUGAGUUGGGAUUCUUCCGUGGACAUUGUGGGGUUACUCUUGAGUUGGGCUGCGAGAGCGUUGAGCGACUUCUUUUCCGGACAAUCGCGUACCCAAUGAGGACCAUUGCAUAUGAAGCAUGGGCUUCGUGGCUUUGGCGCCUCCUUCUUGCCCUCCGAUUUUUCUAGCCCACUUUUGUUGCUAGGCGGCUUUUUCUACCCCUAAUCUUUGCGGUUGUUGCCUUUGUCCUUGCGACUCUCUCCCUCACCUUUGCCUUGGUUGGCCUUUUUGUCUUUGGAUUGGGUAAAGUAUUCGGUGAGUGAUUCCGCAACGGCAAUGGCGUCGUCAAGUGUUUGAACACCCGGCCUAUUGAGCUCGGUCUUGGCCCAAUCUUUGAGGCCAUCUUGGAAGUAGAAGAGCGAAUCCUUGUUGGACAUGUCGCUUAUCUCCAACAAGAGGGUAGUAAACUCGUUGAUGUAGUCACGAAUGCUACCCGAUUGCUUGAGGCAACAUAGGGGUGCUCGUGCUUCCUUCUCCGCAUUGCUUGGGGCAAAUUGCUUUUGGAGAUCUUGUUUGAAGUCCGCCCAAGUGUCGAUAGUGCAAAUGCCCUUGCCCAUCUCGCCAUGCUUACAACGCCAUCAUAGUUGUGCAGCGCCUCGAAGAUAGGUGGGUGCAGUGCCCACUUUCGAUGCCUCAUCUCCAACACCCAUGGUAUCGAAGUAUUGAUCCAGCCCAAAGAGGAAAUUAUCUACGAAUGUGGCAUUGCGUGUGCCAUUGUAAGUGUCGGGCUUUGGCACGUCAAUGCGGCGUGCAUCACUCGUGCUUACGGAAGCUGGACUAGCGGAGAGUGUGCGCUUGUGUCAUGCCCAAUCCAAGCGGACUUCAUCCACUUCUGCACGGACAGUGCGUAGUUCAUCCUGAACAAAGCUACGAAAUUUGAGCAACUCAUCAUGAAAAGAACGAAACUCACCUCGAAGAGUAUUCGCUUGCUCUUGGAUGAGAGCUUUUGUUGCCAUUGUGAACUCGGCAUAUUCUUCCUUGAGACUGUCCACUCGUUCCUCUAAUCCGUCAAGGCUAUCUUGAGUGGCAGACAAUGCAACUUCAAGAGUGGCUAUACGAGGCUCCAACGCAUCCACCGAUGGGGCCUUGGACUUGCUGCGAGUCUUGCCUUGGGCGCGCUCUCCCUCACGGUGGCGACUUGGUUCCGGUGGACGUCCAUACCAACAACACCCUCUUGUGCUGGAUUCGAAGGGUUGGCCAUUGCUCGUGAGCUAAUUUGCGUGGGUGCAAACCUUAAUUCUGAUACCACUUGUCACGGGAUGAGUGUUUUGUGCAGCAAACCUGUGCGGCACUUAGACAACUUUGCCGAACGUUGCUAAGUAAGCAUUGAGCUUCUUGAACUAGAGAAGAGAGCAAUGGAGCCGAGUAAGAAAACUUGUAUUGCACAAAAGAGAGUUUACAAGAGAGCUUUACAAUGCUUGAGUUGCUUGCUCUAAGCAUGUUGUGUACAAAUGCCUAAUGUCAUCCCAUAUUUAUAGGGGAGGCUUGUCAAAUUCUAGGGAUUCUAGAGAAAUCUAUUAACUAUCUAGAAUUUACAUGUGCUGGAAAUGUAUGGAGAAUUCUAUAGUAUCUACAAGCUCAAUCUGUUAGAGUUGCCUAGAACUUUUUGGAAUUGGGCCAAGCUAGCACUCUUGGCUUUGUCUUGGACUCUUGGUGGGCAAUGUGGGCUAGCAAACUGGGCGGUCCGCAACAAUAAGUACCCAAAGGGGUGCGUGCUGCAGCGCUCCAAGCAUUGUCAUAUAAUCUUACUUAUUCCAAAAUCAGCAAUCUUGGUCUCCUUCUUUCGAUUGAUCAAAAGAUUCGACGGCUUUAUGUCACGGUGAACAAUGUUCUUGGAAUGCAUGUAAACAAAACCCUUGAGAACCUGGCGGGAAAUAGUGCCGAAUAAAUCUUCAGAAAGGCGACCGUGAGAUUUUACAUAACUUUCCAGCGAGCCAUUAUCCAUGUACUCCAUGAGAAUAGAUACUUCUCCAGACGGCUCCGUGAAGACUUGAUAACACUUCAUAAUGUAAGGAGAGUUGGUUUGCCACAAGAUAUUGAGCUCUUGAGGAUUAGGAGGGGUGCCACGAUCACAGUACAUGACCUUUAAAGCAUAAAGAGCAAGAGUUUGCUUGUGACGAACUUUGAAGACGGUGCCGCCAUUACCCUGACCAAGAGCUUGGAGCCGCUCGAGUUGGUGUAGUCCGUCAACUUCUCGGCCGUAACUGGCGGUUGCAGUAUGAAAAAGGCCGGGACAGGAUAUUGGUUUCGAAAUAUCGAGUUGGAUGGCUUGUAGAUUGUGUAGCUUCUCAACUUCUUGAUACUCUGUCAACCUUAAGAAAACCACCAACUUCUCUCUCUUUUGCAGAUCUGAGUAUUGUUGUGUUCAACUCUCUCAUGUGAAAAAAACAGCUCGAAAUAAUGGAGAAGCAAGAUAAUUUCUAACUCAGGGCAUGAUUGUGUUCAGGGACCAAAAUUCUAAUUACCCAUAAGCGUUGUAAUAUUCUCCAUCAGUAUUAUUAAAACACAUCCCGCAGACUUUUACCUUUUCCAAAAUCAGGGGAGAGGUUGUGGGGACUAUAGCUGGAAAGAAUUAUAGCUUUUUAAAAAGGUGCGGUUUUAGGAUGUGGGGUUUGACUCGGGGAAGUAGCAUUUUGUUUAAUCACAAGUUCAUUAUUAUCUAUACUUGUGCAUGGAAAGCAAAUGGUAGCAGUGAUGGUGCCGAAGAGUCUAGUUUGGCCAUUUAUCAUAAAGCAGUGGGACCGCCUAAGAAAUCGAGUUCUGGGCUGGGGUGGAGGUAAUAAUAUAAAUAUAAUGAAUUGGGUUUUUUUCAUUACUUUUAACCUUUGAACUUGAAUAAUUUACUUGUACAAAUUAGAUUCUUAAUCUAGAAUAUUCUAAUAUUAUUUAUAAAAUCUGAUUGGUUUAGAGAUUUUUGUGUACUUUUUUUCGUUAAUCUAAAAAAAAAAGAAAAAUUAACUUUCUAUAUGAGGUGUAGGUAUGAAACCAAGGGAUGUCUAUCGUUCCUUGGAUAACGGGAGCAGCAUGGACAUUCAUGUUAGAGCAAGGAGAGAAUUGGAAUUAAAAGUGAAAAAAAUGGAAGAGGAAUUAAGUGAGCUUAGAAAAGUAAAAAAGCAAAUGAAAAUAAUGGAAGAGAAAAUGAAUUUUAUUAUGUCUCAAUCAAGCUUCCAGCAAGUGUCUAACAUGGUAUGAUUAUUUUUCUUUUUGUUUCUUCAAUGGAACUUAUGAUUGAUGCAUAAUGCUAAAUGAAAUUAUUUUCUUUUGCCAUUAAUCUAUUUUUGUUAUUUUGCUUCUCUUUUAAGGAUAAGUUUUAUGAGAAUUGUUGGACUGUGGCUGUUUUAAUUUGAUAAUAAUUUGAAGGGUAGUUUCAUAUAGUUUAUUAAAAGAAUGAUGCCUGAAAAAAUAGAGAAUUAGAAAUGAGGUAGGAUUUUUUGUUGCCAUGACUGCUGUUUUAUAAAGAUAUCAUUUCUUUUGGGUGAUUGAAAGGAUUGCCGUGCUUGUGUAUCAACUUAUUUAUAUUGUGCCAUUAUGUAAUGCUUGUGAAAAUUUAUCGAGUUUCAGGAUGUUUUUGCCUUUGGUGACUGGAUUGUACAUCUCUUCUUUAGUCGAACUAAACUUUAAAAUUCUUUUGGUUUUUAAUAUGUCAAGUGUUUGGACUAAUUUUAUUUAGUGUUACCGUCCCUUUCUUUCUUUAGUUAAUAUUAUAGCAUGGCAUACUUAUGUAAAAUAGUUUUUGAAAUAAUAAUGUGUUGAAAAUUGAUUAAAAAAAGAGUUAGAAAAGUCAAAUUGGAACACAUCAUUUGAAUUCAAUUUGGAAGACAUCAUUUGAACUCAAAUUUGAGGUGGCCGGGAACUUUGACAAGCAAUUGGAAGUGGUCAAAACUAUUGAAAUGGUGACAAUUGAAUGUUGAAAAAUUGACUUGAUUUUAGGAAAAAUUUUGCCUAUAAAAGGAACCUCUCAUUUGAGUGCUUUGCGUCUCAAAAUUUGAGAAGUGAAUGCAAGAGAAGCAUUGAGAGCUUCCAACAUGGGAGAAAAAUGUUCUUAAGCAUAUAGAUGUAUUGAAGGAGCAUUUGGUUUCUUAAUAUGGGUAUUACGGGUUUAGUUUGUUAAGGAAUAUUUCUCGAGAUCAUAUUUUUAGGGUUUGGGUGUGAGAAAAUUAUUUCUCGGAGUGUGGUUGUAAUAAAUUUUCACAUAGUGAGUAUUUUUCUCUGGUUGUCUUUGGACAACAACCUUGGUUUUUCUCCGAAUUUAGAGUUUACCACGUAAAUCUUGUGUUGUGUGAUUGAUGUAUUCUCUAUUUAAUUUUUUCUAUUAAUUUGUUGUUUGACAAAUUGCUUUGAGUGAUUUUGGGAGAAAGCUCAAUUUCCUAACAUAAUGCAGGACACUAGAGUAGAGGAUGGUGAGGAAUAAAUUGAAAGAGAUGAGCCAAAUAGUUGGAAUAUUUAACAAGUAUGAAUGUACAACCUUACCUGUUAAUGUGUGAGAAUCUGAAGAUGAGGAAUCAUUUUGUUUGAAGCUGAUCCAUCAAUGAGCUACAUUUAGCUUUUGUUACAUGUAUGGGAUUAUCAUUUUAAUCUAAUGAACUUACAAUAUUUUAUAAUAACUGUUUUAAUUUUAUUACACAUUAAUUAUAUAAUUUUAGUACCGAAUCAAUUGAUAUAACAAAAGAAAAAAUAGUGUAAUAUUAAUGUUUUUAAUUAAUUAAUUAUUUUCGAAGAAAUGUUAGUGGUCCGAGGGAAAAUUCAUUAUCUCCGAGGGAUUCACCGCAAAAUUAUUGGAUCGCUCCCACCGUUUCACGUGAAUACUACCGUAUACGUGAAUAGUACCGUAUACAUGAAUAGUACCCCUUACGUGAACAGUACCCGACUCCAAAAAAUACAACCAAUAGCUCUGAUACCACUGUUAGGAAAUUGGUGGGUGAAGUAGAUACCACAGCUAAAAUAAAAUUGGAAGAAAAAUAAAGAACAAGCACAAUAGAGGAUACCGGAAAUUACGUGGUUCGGCUUUUAGCCUACAUCCACGAGCGAAGACAGAAAGAAAAUAUUAUAUUAGUGAAAAGGAGUUACAAGUAUUGUAAUAUUUUAACUCACUUCCAAAAACUCCAAUACACCCAAACUCUCUAAAUCACUAUAACAAGAGCUUAUAAUUUCAAGCUCUCUAAACUUUCUCUCAACUGCUAAAUUGCUCUCUCUUCAUGGAAUGAUUCAGCUCUUCAUCUGAACUUCUAUUUAUACCAAAAUAGUGGCCAAGAAAAUCAACGAUUUUAGCCCACCAAUUAUGGCUUCAAUUUCAUCAAUUCACGUGGCUUCAAUUUGUCAAUCUAGCUUUAUGAAUUUUGUGGGCUAUGUUCUCUAUUUUCUUUGAUUUGCUAGCACCAAAGUCAAGUACCAAAUUUGGUGCUGACUUUUAAGUGCUUGCUUUGACACAAUAGCCCCGGGAAGUGUUUUUCUUCCUCGUAUGAAUACUUUUACCGAGGAACAUUAUUUUUUAUGUCCACAGAAAUAUCCGUAGGAAAUAAUGUCUAUUUCUGAGGGUUUGUCGGUAGAACAGAAUUAACAACAAGCGCUUUCAUGAUAGUCUCCAACGGAAAAAAAAUUAGAGAAAUACCGAGGGAAGGGUCCCUUGGUAAUAAUUGAUUUUCUUAAACUUAGUAGAAAUGAUAAGGUGACUUGUGACUCAGUUAGCACUCAAGAGACAAAAUGUAGUGGAGACAAUGGCCAUGUGAUUGGCAAAUAAAAUAAAAUAGAAAACCUAUUAAGUAAUGUAAACUAAGGUCCAGCUACUAUAUCCAUGGGGUUUAGUACCCCAUUCUUUUGUCUUUUUUAAAUCCACAGUUGAAUUUAACGAGAGAGUUGUAUAAUGGUUAGAUCUAAUUAUUGGACUAUUAACAUUAAAAGCCCUUGUUGUUCGUGCAAAAUAAGAAAAAUCAAAAGUUUUAUAAUUAUGACAUAUAAGUCCACAAUAUUUUAAUUUUUUUCACUCUAUUGAAUUAUUUCAAUUAAAUGUCUUAUUCUUACAUUUAUUAAUAACUAUUUAAAUUGAUAAAUUUACUUAUUAAUUAAUAAAUUAACUAAUUUAUUACAUAGUUAAACUAUGUAAAUUAUUUACUAACCAUAAUUGAUGAUAAACAUAAAUAUGAUUUUUUUUAAUUUAACACGACAACCAAUUUCCUUUCAUCCAUGUGAGCAGGGUUCAAACCCCAUAUCUUUUUUAUAAAAAAAACAAGAGAUUUUAUAUGUCAAGUAGAUGGAAUACACAAAAUACGAAAAUAAAUUUAAUUUGAUAUUCUAUGUAGGUAAUAUUUUAUUAUUUUUUAUAACAUAAUAUUUAAUUAACAUACUAAAUUAUUUAAUUAUGUAGUAAAAAUAUUUUAAUUUACUAAUAAUAAUAAAGUGUUAGUUUAUGAAUUUAUAAAAUAAUUUUUGUUUAUUUGAGCAAUGAGUUUUGUAUUUUUGGUUGAGUUCUUGUCCUAAAAUAAAAGGAGUAAAUUUAAUUGCACACUUAAAUAAAUUUAAUUGAGUUUUUGUAUCAUGGCUUCCAAAAGCAUUAAUGCAACUGAAAAUUUGUAGGUGUGAGACUAAUAUGUGAAAAUUUAAAAGUUUUUAGCUUUUUUGUUUUAAUAAUAAAUUAUAGGACCCCAUUGUAGUUGACCUUGAAAAAGACAAAAAAGGUACCAAACUCCUGUUGCAAGUAAAGUAGUUUUACCCUGUAAACUAUAGUAUACAUUCAAGUUAAAGAAAUGGAAACAGUGUGCACUCACAAAAUAUUCUUUCGUGUCUCAUUGUCUUAUUCUUUUCUUACUUUAUUAAAUGGUAACCGUGAAUUCAUAACCUAUCUCAACUGGGCUCAAGGAAUUUGAUUCAAUCUUUGUUAAUAAUGCAAAUAAAAAGAUUCGUGUACAGGAAAAAAAAAAAAACUUAUUACUUCAUUACCAUUGACCUGACGAAGUCUUUAUUGAAAAUAUGUGUAUAAACAGAAGGAAAACAAUCAUAUAUACAACGGAGUAGUGCAGCGGAGAAAUUAUAGAACAUAAUUAAAGAAAACGGAGGAAAGAACAUUUGGAACGUCGGCGUGAGGAAGCCAAUCUUUUAAUUCAGGUCCACUCAACAACUUUUGCAUGUCCUUAACAUUUUUUGUCUAUGCUCUUUCUGCAUUUCAAGUAUAUGAUUUUUGUCCAGCAAUUAUCUUGAUUAGUUAGUUUUUCCUAUUAGUAAUUUGAAUAAUACUAGUUUACGAGAGAAUAGAAGCCUCUUUGCAUCUGAGCAAUGAUACUAGUUUUGGAGAAUCUCAUAACACCGUCAUGAAGGCUUAAUAAUUCACGAUAUUUUAUCUUUUACUAAAUUUGUAUGAAGCUCCCAUACAUAUAAUUGAUAUCAUGUUUUAUCCUAACAAUUAAAUUUCUGUUUUAGCUAAGGGUGGUUGAGGUUGAUUACUUAUAUUGUUAUUGUUAAUUAAUUGACCCUUUGUGUGUGUUACUGGUUAUAAUCAAUUAGGAGUUCGAACAUGGAGAUGGAGGAAGAUAAAAUAACAAUUGCUUCUAUUAAAAAAUGCAAAGAGGUUCGAAUUGACGUCGGGGAAAAGCUUGAGCCUCAAGGUGGGUGUUGUAUUUACAGGGUCCCUAAGGGUCUCCGCAAAAUAAAUAAAGCAGCCUACACUCCUAAGGUAAUUUCAAUAGGCCCUCUUCACCAUCGUAAAAAUGAAUUGGCCAAUAUGGAGAAACAGAAGAUAAGAUAUCAAAGAGAAUUUAGCAGGCGGAUCACCGAUGAGACAUGGCAAGAACUUAUACACUUCGUAGACCUCAACGAACAAACUAUCCGUAAUUGCUAUGCAGACACGUCGUGCACGUUUAAGCUUAAAAAAUUUGAUUUCAUAACGAUGAUUCUGUAUGAUGCUGUCUUUAUCAUUGAGCUGUUUCUAAGAAAACACUUUGGAGCGACAGAUUUUCUAUUAGUCGGACCGCGUCGAACACUUAUUUCAUGCGACUUACAAUUACUAGAAAAUCAGCUUCCAUUCUUUGUACUCAAGGAACUGUACAGUUUAGCCUUCCCUAACCCUGAAACUGGAUAUCUCUCUUUCUUUUGUCUUUCUUGUAAAUUCUUCUUCCAAGGUAAGCAGCUAAGUGAAAUUGGUGCGGGGAUCGAGGAAGUUAAACAUUUCACUGAUUUGAGAAGAUAUUUUAUGACGACAAAACUGUACCAAUUGCAAGAACGUACAGGGUCGAGAGGAACUGUUACAGAUGUACCUUGUGCAGUCAAAUUGAAAAAGUCAGGAGUGAAGUUCAGGUGUAACGAAGGAGAAUGCUCACUUGAUGUAAGUUUUACGAAGGUUAAAAAGCUCUGUUUGGGAGUGCAUGAUGAGCUGCGAAUUCCAAAGAUCGAAGUAUAUGACGACACAGAAUUGUAUUUCCGAAACGUUAUGGCAUUGGAGCAGUGUCACUAUCCACGUGAUACCCACGUUUGCAAUUUCAUUGACCUAAUGGAUUCGCUCGUCAACACUAAAGAAGAUGUAGAUUUGCUUGUGGAAAAGAAAAUUAUAUCCAAUAAUGUGGGUGACAGUGCUACAAUCACAAGGAUGUUCAAUAGACUUUGCCUACAAAUAACUUUAAGUCCUUAUUCCCGUUACUAUGCCGUCUCUGAGGAGAUCAAGGAAUACUAUGGCAACCGCUGGAACCAUACCAAGGCAACUUUGAAGAGUGUUUAUUUCAGCAAUCUUUGGAGAGGCACCGGAACCAUUGCUGCGUUUCUGCUUGUUUUACUCACUUUGAUACAAACCGUGUGUUCUAUCCUUCAAGUCUGGUAACUAUUUUUAUUUUCCACGCCAUUAUAUUAAAUGUUUCCUGGUCACACGUUAAAAGAUAAUAUGUAAUUUGUAUUUUUGGUUUGAAUAUUCUCCACUCUCUUUCUACAAGGAUUUGUGCGCGACUGUUCCAUAUCCUCAAUAUGUUGAGGCUGUGCGAUAUUUUAAUGAUUCUGAUAUGUGGUAGAGCAGUGAAGUCUGCUAUGAGACCUAUUAAAUUUAAUAUUAAAAAAAUCAAUAAUCUUAUAGUAGAACUCAGUACUUUGCACCUCAUCAAUAUGGCAAAGCAUCAUUGGGCUAUAUCAUCACCUUACCCCACAAAUUUUUUUUCCCCAAAAAAUAAAAUUUUAACGGUAAAAUGGGAAUUUAAAAAAUCACCAAAGGAAAAUUGUAACACUUUAACUCGCUUGUGCUUUAACGGUUGACACAUGACUUUUCCCGCCACUUCCGGCGACGCGCCCUCCAUGGACAUUGGACUCCGAUUUGGGCUUGAAUUACAUUUUAUUGGGCCUUCGAAUAGUUUUCUCGACAAUAUUAAAAGAAUUACUGUUUAUUUUGUAUAUAUAUAAUUUUUUAACCUUUUUGAAAAUCUAAAUUCUCAGCGUUCUGGUGGAAACCGAAUUAAGAAUUGUUGAAAUUGUCAUUCGUACGAGAUUUCUGAUGAAUUUGCAACAGUAUCUCACUUCUCUACAUAUUAUGAAAUAUGGAAAGAAUAUUUAUCAUGUGAUUACAGGAGGCGGCGGAUUUAAUUCAAGAACUAAUAUUGUAAGGACCGUUAUUUGUUUCCUCUUUUAUCCUUACCAAAUUGGGUAUUUGUGAAAAAAUUCUAUGAAGAGUAUAAUUCUUGUUCUGUAAUUUCAAUGAAAUUUACAGAGUUAUUUAUACAAAAUAAAGACAAAGUAGCCGUUGAAAGGCUUAAUAAUAUUAAAGGAAAAUAAGUAACUUCCUAAACUAUUGCACAAUAUCGUUAUAAAAUAGGAAUGAAAUAUUCCUACAUGAUAUUGGCAUUCAAGUGCAAAAAUCGUGCUGGAGAUAUUCCUUGACAAAUAGCUUUGAUGUGAGCAAGCUGUGUGGAGUGAUAAACCCUUUGUUGACUUGACCGUUGAUGACUUUCCUUUUGGUAAUCUUGGUCAGCUUGCUUAACAUCCCCCUCAAGCUGGCAAGUGACAUUUGAUGAAUGCCAAGCUUGUAUUGGAAAUCGCGGAACAUGGCUUUUGACAAAGCCUUAGUAAAAACGUCUGCAAUUUGUAACGAAGAAGGGACAAACUUCGUAACCAAGGCACCAUUAGCAACCUUUUCUCUAAUGAAGUGAUAAUCUAAUUCAAUAUGCUUCGAGCGAGCAUGAAAAACUAGGUUAAUAGUCAUAUGCAAGGCACUUAAAUUAUCACUUAAAAGUUGUGGAGGUUAAGCAAGAGGAAUGCCAAUUUCUCGGUACAGGUAUGUGAUCCAUGUGAGUUUUGCUGCUGUGGAUGCAAGGGCUCGAUACUAAGCUUUAGCACUGGAUCUAGAGACAGUUGGCUGUUGUUUUGAAGACCAUGAGAUGCAAUUUGCACCCAUGUAGACACAAUAUCCCGUGGUACUUCUCCGAGAGUCUGGACAGCCUCCCCAAUCAGCAUCACAAAAGGCAGUAAUAUUAAGAGAACUUUGUUGAAGAAAUCUGAUCCCAUAAUCCAAGCUCCCUUUUAAGUACCUGAGAAUACGUUUAACAGCACGUAAAUUAGCCUCAGUGGGUGUUUGAAAAUGUUGACAUACCUUAUUGACUGCAUGAACGAUGUCCGGCCUUGUUAGAGUGAGAUAUUGGAGCCCUCCAACUAAUCGUCUAUAUUCGGUUGUAUUGACGGGCUUGUGAUCAAUGGGGUUGGCUUGUUCUUUAAUGGCCAUAGGAGUUGACAAACUAGUGCUUUCUAGCAUCUUUGCUUUGGUCAGUAAGUCUUUGGUAUAUUUGGUUUGACAAACAUAAAUACCUCCAGAGAAAUACCGAAUCUCAAGUCCUAAGAAGAAAUGGAGUUGUCCCAAAUCCUUUAAAGCAAACUCAAUGCUUAGUUGAUGAAUAAGUUGGUCAAUUAGAAAAUUAUUGUUGCCUGUCACAACUAUAUCAUGAACAUAAAUUAGCAUUAGGAUUAAGGAGUCAUUAUUAUGAAAUAUAAAUAAGGAAGAGUCAGCUUUACUGCAUAUGAAACCCAAUUGAAGUAAAUAAUGAGAAAGCCUAUCAAACCAAGCACGGGGUGCUUGUUUAAGACCAUAGAAGGACUUGUUAAGCUUACACACAUAAUCAGGAUAUAAAGGAUUAGAGAAACCAGGAGGUUGUUCCAUAAAAAUAGUUUUUUUUUAAAAAACCAUGUAAAAAAGCAUUUUUAACAUCAAGUUGUCUCAUGGUCCAAUUUAAUGUUACAGUAAGAGAAAAAAUUAACCGAAUUGUGGUAGGUUUAAUCACAUGACUAAAGGUUUCUUCGAAAUCCAAACCUGGAAUUUGUGUGUAUCCUUGUGCUACAAGACGCGCCUUGUAUUUGUCUAUGGACCCAUCUUCCUUAAACUUAGUUCGAUACACCCAUUUUGAUCCCACUAUGUUUGCAUUUACUGGCCUUGGUACCAAACUCCAUGUAUUAUUUUGUUGGAGAGCAUCAAGCUCUUCUAACAUAGCCGUGCACCACUGAGGUUGUCGAAUGGCGGUUUUGAAGUGUUUUGGCUCUAUUGUUGUAGUAAGAGCCAUUUUAUCAACCAACUCAGGGUGAUGACGCAACUUGUGUCUAGUUAUCAUUUGAUGAGUGUUGCUUUUUUCCGACUCUUUUGGAAUACGAAGAUCUACAAAUAUAUCAAUGCCUUUAGUUGACUGAGGAGUAUUAGUUUCUAACUCCAAAUGAGUGCUGCCAGUUCCUAUAUUGUUCUCUGACUCUUGCUCAGUUGUUGUAUUUGAAGUGAUAUCAAAUUCUUCAAGUGGUGCUGAGCUAGGGCUUAAGUUGGCAUGAUUAUCUGUAGAGGCUGAAUCGGUGUGGAUGACUAUAUCAUGAAUUUCACGUGGGACUUGUUGGCUUGUGUCCAAGUCAUGCAUGUUUGAGUUCAUUGUGUUUUGAAGACCUAUAGAGUUUGGAUUUGCAUGAGCAACUUGUUGUUGGUUUACGUGAAAUUCAUGCUGGGCUUGCUGAAAUGGGGAGCUAUUUUCAUCUAAACCAAGUAUAUCAUGGCAACGAUGUGUAUGAUAUGGCUUGUUUGUUGCUUUCUCCUUUUUAGUCCAGCUCUCAACAUCAGGAAAUGUAACAAUUUCUUGGAUGACUUGUAUAGGUAAACUUGGCAGACUAUUAGUUUUAAAGGGAAACAAAUUCUCAUAAAAAAUUGCAUGACAUGAGAUAUACACCUUGUUUGUUGGUGGAUACAAACAUCGAAACCCCUUAUGUGAAGGGCUGUAUCCAAUAAACACACAAGGGUAUGUUUUUUGUGAGAAUUUGUUUUUCCUAUACAUACGUAGAUAUGGAAAGCAUCGGAACCCAAAGCUUCUAAGCCCUCUGUAAUUAAAAUUUAUACCAAAAAGUUUGUAAAAGGGAGUCUUCAUAUUUAAAGUGGAUGAAGGUAGCUUAUUAAUAACAUAAACAGCAGUAGAAAAAGCAUCAACCCAAUAUUGUAAUGGCAUAUUUGCAUGAAAGAGCAUUGUCAAACCUGUUUCUACAAUAUGUCGGUGUUUCCUUUCGGCAACACCGUUUUGUUUAGGAGUUGCAGGACAUGACAAUUGAUGUUGUAUUCCACAUUGACUGAGAUGACUUUGAAAUUCAUUUGAUAUGAAUUCACCUCCUCCAUCACUUUGAAAUAUUUUUAUCCUCUUAUCAAAUCGAUUUUCAACCUGUUUUUGAAACUUGAUAAAAACAUCAAAUAAAUUUGAUUUAUUUUUCAAAGGGUAUAGCCAUGUAUAACGUGUGCAGUCAUCAACAAAGAUAGCAUAAUAUCUAAAAUUUUGAACAGAAGAAAUUGGAGCAGGACCCCACAAGUCGCAAUGAAUUUUAUGUAAAUGAAUGCUGGAAAUUUUAUUGGAAAAAUUAAAAGGAAGUUUCCAGUUCUUUCCCAUUUGACAACUGGAACAUACAUAAUCUUUCGUAAUCCAAUUUGAAACAUCAAUAAGAUUGUUUUUAUUCAAAAACUUAAUGGACUUGAUUUGGGGGUGUCCCAUUCUUUGAUGCCAUAUGUUGUAAGGUGCUUUCCUGCCUUCAGAUAAGUAUAGGGCUGCAUGAUGUCCUUCAUCUAAAGCAUAAAGCCCUUUUAUCUUAGUUCCCUUUGCCAAGAUGUUUCUCUAAUAAUCCUUAACAACAAACUUGUUAGAUGAAAACUUAAUAAUGCAUGAAUUAUCAUGUGUGAGCUGCCCUACCGAAAGUAAAUUCUUUUUCAAGCCUAGAACCACAAGCACAUUUUUUAAAUAUAGUUUACUAAUGCUAGUGUCUAUGGAGCUGUUUCCUAUAUGUGAAAUAUUAAGACAAUCACCAUUUCCAACAACAAUGGCAUCAUUCCCUUCAUAAGGUUUAAGUUCAGAAAAUUUUCCUGGAUCAUUGACCAUAUGGGUAGUUGCUCCCGAGUCAGCAUAUAAUUUGGCAUCAUUUGCAUCCAGGUUCAUUGCAGCUAAGGCUUGUGGAAUUCCCUCAGUAAGAUGUGAGUAGUCAUACCUACGUCGACAUUCAAUGGCUGUAUGUUUCGGUAAAUCACAAAUUUGACAUAUGACAGUUUCUUCAAUGACUUCCUCAGCUUAUUGUUUGGAUUGAUUCUGAAUUUUGUGCCAAGGCUGUCCAAAAUUAUUUUGCCGAGGUUGCUGCCACUGUUGUCCCGAAUUUCCUUGCCAUGAUUGUUGCCCUUGUUGACUUGGAUUAUUGUUUGAUUUUUGCCAUGGCUGACUUGCAUUAUUAUACCAACUUUUUCCAGCAUUGUAGUUGAUUUUUUGACCACUUGAAUUAGCCAAAUUUUGUCCUCCUACUGCUGUAAAACCACGACCUUUUGAGUUAAAGAAACCUCCAUUUCCACAACCUUUUCCCUUGCCUCGUUGGCUAAAAAAGGCUUGAGCCAGAUUGAUUGUAUUCUUCUUUUCUUCUUCAAAAUUAAUAAGAGUUUGUUCAUGAUUUUCGAGGGCCAUGACAAACUGCUUAAAUGAGGGAUAAGGUGGUUUUGAAAGUUGAGCAAGUUUGAAGUCUUGAUACCUGUAGCCAAGACCUCUUGCAAGACCAAAGACUUUAUCUAAGUCAUUCACUGGUUUAUUUAUUGCAGCCAAACAAUCACAGAUAUGCUUGUAUUUGCGCACAUACUCUUCAACUGAUAGAGAUCCCUUUUUUAAUGUUGCCAAUCUGUCCAUGAGAUGUACCUCUUUUUCCUUAGUCAUCGGAAGUAAUUGAUCCUCCAAAGAUGACCAAAUUUGUUGAGCAUUUUCUACUCCAACGAUUCCACUUAUCACUUCUUCUGUCAUCAGGCUUAAUAACCAAGAUGUUAACAACCCAUCAUUGUUGAUCCACAUGGUGAAAUCUUCAUUGUCAGCCUUUUCCCCAUCAGACAAUAAUAUUUCUUUUGCAGGUCUCUCAGCAUCUGUAAUAUAAUGCAGAAUGCCAAGGCUUCUGACCAAAGGGAGAACCUGUGAGCGCCACAACAAGUUCGUGUUGUCUAGUUUAAUGGACACAAGACUUGAGCAUUGAUAAAAGACUGAAUAUUUAGACUUGGCUCUUUGAUAAAGGAUGAAGAGGUUUUAUUGCUAGUACUCAUGGCUGGCUCUGAUACCAUGAAAAAAUUCUAUGAAGAGUAUAAUUCUUGUUCUGUAAUUUUAAUGAAAUUUACAGAGUUAUUUAUACAAAAUAAAGACAAAGUAGCCGUUGAAAGGCUUAAUAAUAUUAAAGGAAAAUAAGUAACUUCCUAAACUAUUGCACAAUAUCUUUAUAAAAUAGGAAUGAAAUAUUCCUACAUGAUAUUGGCAUUCAAGUGCAAAAAUCGUGCUGGAGAUAUUCCUUGACAAAUAGCUUUGACGUGAGCAAGCUGUGUGGAGUGAUAAACCCUCUGUUGACUUGACCGUUGAUGACUUACCUUUUGGUAAUCUUGGUCAGCUUGCUUAACAAUUUGUGUGUAAGUAAAACUUAUCAAUUUGUUUUAAUCAAGUUUUGUAGGUUAUUAGCUUUUAUUAAAAAAGGAAUUUUCUUAAAACUCACGUU